UUUUUUUUGAGUUUGAAGUUGAAAUAAAUAAGUGUGCAACGCGGCAUCUAGUGGCGUUGAUUGUGUUCAGGAACGUCCUUGCUUGCUUGGAUUGGGGGUGGUUGUCUUGUCAAUUCGUAUUUGAUAGAUGGGAAGUUGUGCAGUUCUAUGAUAUUGAAAUAUGCAGCUACUUCAGUCAGGUCCCUGAAUACUUGCUUAGGGGGAUAAUGUUGCUGCUUGUCUACUUUGAUUUUGGUGACUCCUUGAGCAGGGGGAAUGCCCACUAACUUGUGCAAUUUUUUGAAAGAAAGAAAAGAACUUGUGCAAUAACCUGUAGUUUUUCUUUCAUUGGAUUCCAAUGGUCUGUAACAAUCAAGUUCUUCCAAAUGGCUGUCAAUUUUGAAUCAAGUUACGCUGACUCAAUGAGCACUGUCAGAAAUUUGCACUGCGCCUUUCACUUUCUGUCAAGGUGAUUAAGAGUUGGUUAUUUCGAGAUGACUUGGUUAAUUUUGAUGAUGGAGUUUGGCGUGAAAUGGCCAAGCUGUGCUCUAACUAUAAUAAUUUAAACAAGUCAUGAUUACCUUUUCUGAUAGGACCUUAAUGUUUAAUAUGUAAUGGACAACAACGCUGAACUUCUACCCCAGUCAUUCUGCACUUUCUUCCUGUAUCUAUGCCCCUAUAAACUCCUCCUAAGUUAUUGCGUUAUAAAAUGAUAAAGUGAUUUCUGUCUCAUUUUGUCUGAUUUCCAAAUAUGUUUGUGCUUGUGCAGAUCAAAGAAGCAAAAUUGCAAUCUUUGGCUCACAUUAAAAGGAUUGAAGAACUUGAGAUGAAGCUGCAUAGUGCCCAAAGUACUAUACUCUCACUUGAAGGAGAGUUGGAGAGAGCAAAAAAUGAGUUGAACCAGACAAAAAUUCAAGCUGAAGAAAACAGAAUCAGACAUUCUGACGCUGAGAAAACUGAUGAUAGCGAGAUGAGCAGUCAUCAUUCUAAGAUCUGCAUGAGAGAGAGAAGUAAAUCUCCAGUAAGUUCUGAAAUUUAUUGUAUUCCAAGAAAUUUAAAGGAGGAUGAAAAUGUGGGGAAAAUCCAGGACCUGCACAAUUGCAAUCAUUAUCUCGCAUUAUCUGGAGCAACACAUAAGGAAUCCAUAUGUUUUUGCAGUAGAGGUGCCAAAAAUACUAGUUCACUUGAACAGCACGUUCAAAGUCUGGAGACACCCUUGGGACGAAGUGGUCGGAAUGCUGGUCAAGUGAAAAAUCUUUCGAUCAGUGGAAAGAAAGUAAUCGCUAAAAAAUUUUGCUGCCUAGAGGCAGAGGUACUCCAAACUGGAAAUCUAAGAUACUGCAAGCGUAGGAGGAGCAAAAGAAGUGGGUCUAGAUAUAGGCAUGCUGCAAAUAAGGUGCAAAGGAAAACAGAAAAUGAAGCACCCAACACUUCUGAUGGUAAUGGAUGUAUGCUGCUAAUUCAGGCCCUUGAACAUGAUCUUUCUCCUUCAAAGAUUUUUGAUAGACAAGGUGGAAAUCAUGUUGGGCAACAUGUUACUGAAGCCAUGAUGUAUCUGACUGACCCAAUGCAGAGUUCGUUUGAUUCUGAUAAUAGGUCUAUGCAGACCGUGGAACCAAUGAAAAACAGCACUGAAGAUGAAGGUACUAUUCUGAAACACUCAAUUCAUCCGAAUAUAUUGUCAUCAUUUAAACAUGAUUAUCUUCAUGCAGUUAACAUGACAGAAGACCUCUCAGAGUGCAGAACACAAGAGAAUACUAUAUCAGACAAGAAAGAAGAUAAGAACCAGCAUAUUUGCAACUUGGAUUUAGACAAAUUUGGUGUAGCUCCUAUUGUCAGCUCCUCAACCAAUGAAGGAAAUGCAACCAUAUCCUCUAUCACUUCCAAUCGAACUGCAUGCCUGUACACAUUCAACCGUAGGAAGCGAAAGAGCAAGCACAUUGAGAAGAGCACUGAUGAUUCUGUCACUGACAAGAUUCUCCAUCGUAUGGGUCCAGUAGAGGAACACAAAUCAAAAACACAAGUGAUCUUGACAGACUCACCACAAAGUAAUAGGCGUCUGCUUGAGGUCGCUAGUCAGGUGUGUGGUUUUGCUUUGUUUUGCUUUAUUAAUGUGCGAUGUGCUGUAGAAGUUCUUCAAGUUCGGACCGUUACAUAAUAGCCAAUAUUUUGCAACUCUUGUCUCUCUUAUUAUUUUGAAGCAAAAUCUUCUCUCUCUGGUUUUGCAGCUCAUUUCAUUGUCCGAGAAGUGAGGAAAUUGCGCUGCAGAGAAUGGGUGCCAAGAAUCGUGGAUUCAAUUCCUAAGAUCAGCUUCAAGCAAAGGGAGAGGGAGGCCAUUCUCCAAACAUCCCAAAUGAUCUGUUAAGUAGGGAACAGGUCAUCUGGUGGAAGUGCAGAAACUAGAAGUGCAAGAUAUGUCGACAUGUAGCUAGAAAUUUCUUUGUGUGCAUACAUUGCAAGUGCAAAGCAUAUGUGUCUCUCUUAUCGAGAAGUGUAAUGUCGCUAUGAGUUCUGAUGAUUCUUUCAUUUGCUGUCCAUAGAAAAUAGAAAUCGAGAAAUAUAGAGCUCACUCGAGAAGUGAACUAGGAAAUGACGAAUGAGUGUGGUUUCUAUGUGCAUAUCUCCUAAUUUCAGAAGCUUGUUAACAUUAGCAUUCCGUUAUGAAGCUAGAUCAGUAGCACAUCAGCUUCAUUUUUGGCUACCGAUCCGGAGGUGUUUGGAUGCUAAGCACUAAAAUUUAGUCAUGUCACAUUGUAUAUUUCGAUGCUAAUUAGGAGAACUAAACACAAACUAAUUAUAAAACUAAUUGCAGAAGUCUAGAUCUAAUUCGUGAGACGAAUCUUAAGCCUAAAUAGCAUCACAUGGGCUAAUAGAUUCGUCUUGUGAAUUAUCUUAGGGGUUAUGCAAUUAGUUUUAUUAUAAAUCUAUAUUUAAUACUUUUAAUUAGUAACUAAAUAUUUGAUGUGAUAGGGCUAAGGGCUAAAGUUUAGCCCUGCCGGAUUCAAACAGCGCUAAAAUAGCACGAGGACUAAAAUAACAUGGAUUGCCGCGAAGCGGAUUCAAAAACCACUCGAAGCGGGUGAACCGUGAACGUGAUCCCACGCGGUAUUUAUGUACCUCGUUGCGCACACAGGGCCUCUUCCUUAAAUAUCCACUUAAAUUGUUAAUCUAUAAAAUUUUGUACCCAUAAGAAAAAAAUCUAUAUAAUUUUCUAUAGACAUGUAUUUUAAAUUAGAUGGAGCACCGAUUAACGCGAGUCCUCCAGCAAUUUUGACGACUUCCUGGUUUUCACCCUCCUCUCUAGUUUGGAUUUUCGUGAUUAGCAAAACCACGUUUGGCUGGGGACUGAUCACGGGUACCAAACAGCCGGCCUCCAGGCCCAACCGGUGGAAGGGGAAACCCUACAGCCCGGGGCAGCGAUUGGGGAGCGCAGCACGCGAGGCUUCGACGCCGUUGAGCUCGAGGCGGCCGGCUCGCGGCCCGGCCUCAGCGCCGCUGCGGCUUCGCCUGGUUCCCGCGAGCUCGGCGCGGAGGUACCUAGAUCCUUCUCUCACCUUUGCCUUGGGCCUUGGCCCUGCUCUUGCGCCCCCCUCCCCUCCCAUUUAGGUCGCGUUCCAAGCGGGUUUGAAUCCGCCGGGGUGGGUUCGUGCGGCCUCAAUCCUGUGAGUCUCUGGAUUUGACGCGGUGUUGCUGAUAGCGUUUGCUGCGGAGGCCGCGGCUUGCUCAAUGCUGCUCGAUGAUGUCGAAUCGGUGAUUGCUCGAUGUGGUUCUGUUCGUUGCCAUGUAACUUGGUUUCGAUUAAAUCCUUGUCGGGCUUAUGAAUUGGGCGUCUGUGCAAGUAGGUUUCUGUUUGUCGCUGAUCAGUAGCAGCUGGAGCAAGAUGUUUGUUUCCAACUAUCCACAAGCAUUUUCGCCUAUGUUGCUUGAGCUUGACUGUAUUUGGUCCUGAGAUCUAAAUUCCUAUCUCAGUGAAGCUAAUCUUUCUAACAAAGCAGCAAAUACUUGCUUGUAUCUUUUAUAGUUUGGGUCAUUGAUGCAACGAUUUUCUGUUUCGAGAGCUGGCUCAUGUUUUGGUUGAUUUGUUUAGUAGCAAUGUUUCUACACAGAUUGGGAGCAUAGUCAGGUUGAAAUAUCAGUACACGCCAUGAUUGAGUAUGUCCAUAAUUGCAGUAAUCCCAUUCGCUGUAGCAAACUAGUAUGGGAAAACCUGUGCUACCGAUGACUGAAGGGCUUGUGUAUUCUCAAUGAUUUCCAAAUGGUAGUAGAAUCACUGGAAUACUUGUUUGCCAAUUGCUCAAGAAAACAUUGUGGGUAGAUGGAUGUGGCACACAAAACCAAGGAAAUCUGACGUCCUGUUUAGGUUUAUUAUUCCAUAGAAUUAUGUACAUGUUCUAAGUGUAUGUACUUAAUGGGUUCUGGGUGAGAUGUAAAAACAAUUUUAAAACCUUUUGAUUGCUAUAUUUUUGUUCACUGGUCUCAAUUGUAAAUGGACAACGUGUGAAAAAGAAGCUGACAUGGCACUGUCAUGCUUCCUUCACGCUCCCCUUCAAUAGAGAUAAAAUGUACUCUUUUCUUUCUGUAUUACAGAGUACUGUAAGGUUCACAUGUAGAUAUUAGCUGUCCUUGUACCUACAGAACUGGGUUACUUGUUCCAAUGAGAAUGCCAUGUAACUUAGUAUUGAGUCAGUAAAGAACACGUCCAAGUAGUAUAGGUCUAGUGCACUUAUCAUAUAGUAGGGUUAAGCGCAAAACAUGAGGCAUUAUUGAAUUGAUUUUUGUCUUUAACAUUUGUCCAUUUUAGUUUUAGGUUUCCUCUUCAGAGCAAUACAAUUGAUGCUUUCUGGCCUGUUGCAGGGUUGAAUGGCAAACAGAGCAAGAUGGGUGAUGAAGUAUGAAAAGGGCCUUGUUGAUAUACUUCAUGAGAACAAUAAUUCACAUUAUCGUACCCAAAAUGGAUGGAGAACAGAGGGGUGGAGGAAAAUUGUUAGGGAUUUCAACAUGAGGUACCCAGAAGCAAAGUUUAGUAAAAUGCAAAUCCAGGAACAUGAGACUCAAUUGAAGAAAGAUUACAAAUUGAUAAAAUUGAUCCUCCAGCGUGAUGGUGUUUCAUGGGACCAGAGUGCAUCCAUGAUUAGAGCGACAGAUGAAAUCUGGGAUGAGAUAAUUGAGGUGAGGAUUUAACUCUUCUGCUCUAUUAUAUAUGCAGCAAAGGUAGAAUUUUAAUAUUCUUUUUAAAUUUGGCAGGAUAUGCCCAAGGCACGGAAGUACCAAAGUAAGAGCUUUCCACUGCUUGACUCGCUGGAGCUGUUAUUUGAUGGUAAGCACCUCCCCCUAUCCCCGGAUGCACAUGUACACGCACGCCACCUCAACACAAUAAAGACUACUGAGAAGAAUUGUAGUGUUACCCUUUGCUUUUCUGAUUUAUACAUGCAUCUGUCAUAGGCCCUAUUCCUGAAGGAGGACAAAAUUCACCUCAGAAUAUUGUUGGAAAUGUUGACGAGGGAGGCAACAACAUGAGCACAACCCCAGACAUGUCUGGAAGACCUAGUGGAACGAUUAAUGCAAACUUUGACGAGACAUGGAACAAUAUCAGCCUACUUCAACGAACGGCAUUAGGACCACAAGGUAUAGAUGAUCUUGACGUUCUGCAUAACCAUACCGAGGAGGUACUGGGACAACAACAGCAUGGCGCAGACGGAAGGCCACAGAGAGCUGAUGAACAAGCACAGUCAAGUUCCUGUGUAGAGCCGCAGAGAGACAGGCGCAAGAAGCGCAAGGUUUCAGACAUCCAGCAGAUCAUGGAGACCUAUCUAAAUUUCAGGAUGAAGCAAGCUCGCGUGAAAGAACAGAAAGCAAAGGAAGCUGAUCAGUUCACAAUCUCGAGCUGCAUCAAAGCAAUGAACACCAUGGCCGAUGUGUCUGAUGAAGUCAAGGUCUUAGCCUCUGAUGUUUUCAAGGACACCGAAAACCGGGAGAUCUUUCUCUCCUAUGAACCCAGGCUGCGCACCUUGUGGCUGAAGAGGGAAGUUGGUAGGCUGCUCACGUGAUAAAAGAUGGACUUAUUAUGGUGUUGGUUUAUCUCUAGGUGUGGUGAAGUGGCGACUUUUGCAGUUCUCAUUUAGUUUGUUAUUAUCUGUGUAUCAGCUUUAAGUCGAUUUCUGGAGGCAGAUUCUUCCUUAUCUAAACCUUUUAACUUUGACGUGCUCCUUGUACAGAGUCUCACCACGCUUCCAGAAAUGUAGGCAUUCAUGCUUAGUAAUGUGCUUCCAAAUUUUUUUUGGAUUUGGAUCCAUAUUAUCUUUUGUUGAAAAAUGUGACAGACUACUUGUUUUUGACAAAACACUAAAACCGUAAUGAGGAUUGUUCUCCCAUUAUAUUCAAAAGGAAAGAAGACAGUGGAAUUAUUUCCCAGAAUGAUGGUUCGAGUAUUGGCACUUUGGCAGGGGUGAAAAGCACUAUGACACCACAAUUAGGCCAAUCACAUCAAGCACGAGCUCGUUUGGUAGUUUCAGUUAGCCCAUAGUACCAGAUAACAGAUCGUGAUGAACCUGAUGUGGAUUGCAAAUUAAUUCAGUGAGGCACAGCUAAAGAUUGCACUUGGAAAGCUGAUGCAUGAAAUAAACGCGAUCCCGAAGAACACAAAAUGUUUGAAACCAAGAUUUUGCAAGAAUCAGUGGGCAAUGGCAAUAUUUCACUUCCUUUGUACAGCCAACUCACCACGCGCAGUAUAAACUUUGAUACAAUGUCAACCAUUCAAGCAAACAUUCGAUAUUUCCAUGUUCUGAGGCACCUGGAAUGGACUACUGGUCAUGCUGAAAACACGCUCAAAUAGCAGCCUUGGAACCUCAAAUAGCAUGAAAUCACCAAAGCUGAAAUUCUCAUAAGUCAAUUAUUAAUCAAAUCUGCAGAGCCAGACCCAUUUCACCAUUCUAGUUCCGUCCAAUAUACAUUUCAAAUUCAGACCAUAUUCAAAGAAAAUGCCUGACUAUAAUGGUCAUCACAAGCAUAUAUGUAAUCAGAACAUACCGAGGGCAAAGCAAUCCCCACAAUUGAAAUAUACUCAGGGUGAUGAAAGAACUAGACUAAGACAACGCACAAGCACUCUUUAAGAUGGCAAACAUUUCCACUCAAUACAAACUUAGGUAAGGCUAUAUUGACGGUUUAGCCGCUUAAGCUCCAAUCUCUUCUUUCUUCUCCAGUAAAAUGAAGCGCUCAUGACAGUACCAAGCUUAGCUUUCAAGUUCCGCAACUCAAAUUUUGUAAACUAAUUGACGAAUAAAUUCUAGGGCUUCCACAUAAUUAAACAUACUGGGACACUAGGUUUGAAAGUCAGUGAAUACAAAAGAUAUCGUAAACAGAUCAAAGCAGGACUAGAAAUUUAUAAUGCAAGUGGUUCAACAAGACUUAUGAUGUCCAAUGCAAAAUUUAAAGCCGAAUUUGAAGGACUCCUCACACCAGGCCAAGCUCACAUGUAGAAAGCUUAAAAGUGGAUGCAUAACGGGAGCUCAUGAAGUUUAUAGUAGCUAACUAGGAUAGCAUUUGAGGGACCAGGCAUUAGGUUCAUGGUAAGUGGUCAUAGACCUACUUACAUGGCUAUGAAGACAAGAUAAAGUAUUGUUAUAUAUAGCUAUUUACAUGGUCAUGAAGUGGAGAUGUACACAUAUGAUAUAAAUUUUUGAACUGAAAGAUCACACAAACAGAGCAAGAGAAGACAUAAUGUACCAACUUACAAUAUGAUGGAGAUUCAUGUCCCUUCAUGCCAAGAGCAGAAUAAUAGGAAUGCCAAGACUGGCAAAGUAUUGGUGAACCAGAAUCUGAAAGUUAGCUAAGUGACAAUCCACUUAAAUGAUGCAUGCUUAAAUGCCCAUAGGAAAAGCAGACAGAAACCGAAUAAUGAAACAAAUUUCUACAGAGUGCUGGAAGCUACACUCAGAUCAAAACUACAAAGAAAAGGAAUAGAUAGAUCCAUAACAGGUAAUAAGAUUGCCAACAGCUAAACUUCAUGUUUACUCAUUGAACAAACAACAUUUACUGCUCAUAUACUCUUAGAUAAGGACACAACCGUCACCUUAUAUAGCAUAUAUAUUAUCUCACAAACUGUAAGCAACAAACAGUCCUCCAGCAACACAUGCAACAGGAACAGUCUAAAAAACAUAGUUUCUGGACAAGUCUAUAUAGAUUUAGCGCCUAUUCCAAUAUUCACAUUUCUUUAUACCAAAAGCAGACGAUACGCAAAAAACUAGCAUAUCCGACAGUAACAUGCAAUGAGUAGUAGAGCUACAGCAUAGAACUAGUAUAACCCUGGCAGUCUAGUAUCUUGGACCCAUGCUACAAGAACGGGAUAGCCGCACUGGUGCUAUAUUUGCCAUCUCUUGUCCAGUCCCAACUGUUGUUGCUUUUGGGCCACCACCACCUUCUGCUGCAGACACGGUGUUGUAUUGCUUCCUGCAACCUGGGCAGCGCCCAUCUGCCUCAAGGAUCUUCUUGUGGCAGAAGAGGCACAGGUGAAACCCACAAGGGCAGGGGCGGAAGCUAGAGUCUGUUGGGUCAAGAUCUUCAUAGCAUAUCGGGCAUGGCAGUGGCAAUGAGAGAAUACCCUGCUGCGCAGCACCCAUCCCCAUCCCUGCCCAGCAGUUACCAAUGCUCGCUGGGAAGCUGGCCUGCUUGGAGAUACUGGGUAAGCUCUGUGGACGAAAUAUAUCAUCAGGUGCCCAAGCCCUUGUCUUGCUCCGAAUCGGUUCUGGUCUUGCUGCAUUGGCAGGUGCUGCAUUGGUAGGAGCUGGUGUGGGUGUUGUCGGAACUGAACUCUGGUGGCAAUGACUGUCAUCAUCGUAGAGCGCAUCAGCAGCAGCUUCCCAAUCAUCCAAGACUUCGCUAUCAUCCUCAGGGCAGCCUGCAUCCUCCUCCUCAGCAUCACUCACACUCCUCGAGCUGGACCACACACUGCUGCCACUACUGAGGCUGGGGCCACCGCCAUUGCCGGAGAACCCUUUCCUCCGAGCGCCACCAUUGCCCUGGGACUUGUCAGAGCCAGGGCUGUGCAUGGGUGAGUCAAGGUCGCUGCUCCCUACCUCUAGUCCAGUAGCACCAGCUUCCUCCCUGUCAUCCAGAUCACUUCCCCUAGACCUCGUGUCCGCACGCCGACGAGGGAGUGGAGGGUGCGGGGAAGCGAGGAUUGGUGAGCCAGCAUUUGACCCUGCUCCUGUUGGCGAAGCCGCAACCUUGGUCUCUUUCCCAUCCUUGCCUGGACCAAUCCAAAACCCAAAAAAGGGGUCAGAUUUUAACAAAUCAUCAAUGAGAACACUAUUUUUUCCAACUAGAUCACCCCAAAUCAACGAGAUAUUGCAUUCUACGAAAGCCCUUAUAAAAAUUUCCCGGACAAUGUUUCCAUCUUCCUAACCCAGAAGAGAUCACAAGGGGUUAGAUAAAGCCUUGAUCCAGCGCAGGGAGAUCUUAACUCUCGCAUGCACACCACCGCCGAAUCCCCAACAGGAAAUCCCCCAAAUCACAAACUGCGGAUUAAAAGCAUCAGACGGAACAGGCACGAGAUCAGACCUUGCCCGGACAGCCACUGCUCGCGGCGCGUCUCGAGCUUGCUCUGCUUCAACUUCGCCGCCGUCCGGUUCCCCUGCGAGGCGCACCCGAAAAAACAGGAAGUCAGAUCAGAUCAGCACGCGGCGCAAUCAAAUCGAACCCAACCAGGAACCCCCCGGACCCGAAUCGAAUCACAUGGAUCACCCCCACCCCCACGGGCAAACGGAUACGACCCGCCCUUACCCUCUUCUUCUUCGCGUCGCGCGCGGCGGCCGCCGAUGCGGGCGAUGCGGCGUCGCUGUGGCCCAUCUCGCCGGGGCGGUACGUGGGCUGGGGCGGUGCGGACCUGCCUCGCGGGGCUGCCGGCCUCGUCGACGCGCGCUCGGGGGGAGCGAGCGAGGAGGCGGAGAAAACCCUAAAAAGCGAUGCGGCGGGCGAGCGGCGAGAGAGAGGGAGGGAAGGCGAGGACAGACGCGGGGUGGAUGGAUGGAUAGAUAACACGGGGGGGUGGGGCGCGGAGUUAAUGAAAAGAAAGAGAGGGGCGGAGAGGAAAGGGAAGCGAAAUCUCCUGGGAUUUUCGGUUCGCGUUUAUUGAUCCGCCACGGCGGGGGCAAAUGACGAGACUGCCCCCCUCCGCAGCGGGGCGGCGGUUAGGGGUUGCGUGGCCCGUGGGAUCGGGGCCGUCCGAUCCGCGCGGGGGUGGGUCGGCGGGAUGGGGUGAGGAUUUGGCCGGUUGGCCGGUUGGGUGCCGCGUUCCCACCGGGGGGGCGUUUUCGUGAAGUCUUUUCUUUGGCCCGGGGUGAACCGGACGCUCCUGGUCGUAACGGCGUUUUUGUUUCUUUAGCAGUACACAGGCGCGCGGUAACGUGCGGCGCGAUUGCGACGUCGCGGGCCGUUGCGUCCAUCGGUUGGUAGAUGGCCGGCGCUGAGGAUUUUGCGAGGACCUCGAACGGGGGAGAAAGGAAGGUGAGGAGAAGCUGCUAGAAGGUUGAGUUCGUGCUCCUCACGUGAUUGAGCCACAGCAGAGUUUGUUUGGAUUGAACUAUCAACUACUAUAAAAACUCGGCAAGAAUUCCGUCAGGUGAAAGAAAAGGAAGUACCAAAGAAUUUGAAGAAUAUUUGAAUGUCACAAGGUGGGGUGCCAUUCGUCGAAACAGGAAUUAUGAGGCAUCAGGUUUCAUUUAUUCUUUCAGGCCCGCACGACUAGCGCAGCCGUGCUCAGCCAUAUGUCGUCAACAGGCACCAAAACUACAAAAGAAGUGACAAGUUGGUCAGAGGUUUUCGGUUUACAUCUCCCUGCGUGGCACCGGCUUUCUAAGCAUCAUUUACAGACCAAUUGGUGCUCCGAAUUCAUGGGCCCUAGGAAUUUUAUGAGCAACGUGACACAAAAAGGUCAUGCCAUGUAGCAACUGCAUAUGCUGCUGCCAGCUUUUUGCUCCAGUCAGCACUACCACGGCUUAGCUCUGCUUCAACGUGGCACCAAAGGCACGUGACGCCACACUGGGUACCAUUUUCCGACCCUACCUCAUUAUUCUGAUUCGUACCAUGCCCUUCUAUGCAGGAAGUUAGGAAGUUUCUGUCCUCCUACAAAUCAAGAUAGAGUAACAGGUCAGUGUAUGACCCGUUAAGUUUUCUUUUAAACGAUCGCCCAUCAAAUUGAUGCAACAGAAUCAACUAUCCAGUGAUGAAGAACCAAACCUGCAGGAACCGGAGACCAACCAAUCAAGCACGAUGUAAUCAUGUAAGUUGAUCGUCAUGAUCGCUAGAAGGCGUGGCCACACGCGCCUGCCGACGAAAAACGAAUGCUUAAGCAACCAGGCAAGGUUGUGAUAUUUUCCGUGGGCUCUUUUGUGUCGCCUGGUGCUUACAUCCAGCCAAGGCAUGAGCUCCUUCGUGCUUUGUCACGACUCGCGAGGACCAUGCAAGUAAUCAUUUACCUGGCCAUGCAAAGACAAUGUUUAAUUAGCAGUUGAAAGAAAUGGUAGCCACGCCAGACAAUGCAUCACAAGGAGAAAAGUAAAUAAAAAACUGGAUGCACCCAUAAUGAACAAUGCGUCGCACGAGAAAAGUAACAGGGUUGCAGCUAACCUAGAGAAGUUUUCACUUUUCACUCCACCACCACAACCCCAUAGUACAUAGUGAAAAAAGCAUACUAAAAACAGAAAAGAAAGCUAAAUAAAAAACAGAUCAACUAACAGAAUGAGUUAACUUGUUAACAGCAGCCGGGUACACAUUUUCAGAUGUGUCAAUUCUUUCACAACCAACAAUUGCAGCAGCAUAAUACAAGAUCAUUACUUCUUUCAGAAAACUGCAAUAGUGACACUGACACCAUGGUCAUGGCAAAAUUGCAGUGACAUAAUACUAGCUCAGUACUUUUUAUAGAAAAAUGCAAUAGUGACACUGACACCAUGACCAUGGUCAAAUAAUAUCUACCAGUGGUGCUGCUUCAGUCUCAUCAUACAGAAAUCUACUGCCAACAAUAUGUAUCUACCAUGCUACAGCCAGCCUGGUGCACAGACCUAUUUAUGUAUACACCUUUAUCGGAACAGUUCCCACUUCCCACUUCUAUGAUAGAGAUGGCACAUUGGAUCCAUUUCUGUAUUCUCCAAAAGAAGCACAGUCAAUAUUUUUAUGGCAAUAACUUACCAUUCAAAUCAUCCACACGCCCAAAUCUUCCACAUUUUCUACCUAAACUAACGUCAACGAGCCGAUGCUUUCAUCGAUUGGCAAAUUUUUGGACCUCUGUCUGUAAGGCCACUAUCCUUUUGCGAAAAAAAGUUAGAAAAAGUAAUUAUGAGUGAUGAAAGAACAUAUCUACAAUUGAAGUCACCCACGAUUAUCAACUGCACUCCAACCUACACCUUUUUCCACUCCAUGAUUCUUCAUCAUCUCUCUUAGUUUCUCUAUCUCAUCCCAUUUUUGAACACUGCCAUAAGAAUUAGACAUUAAAAUGUAAUAUCCAUCAUUUUCUGGGUCAGAAGCAAAUGCCUUUUUUGCAAUCCUUAACCCCAUCUCAAAGUUGUCAUGCACUUUGCAGGCAGUAAGCAAAGUUCCCCAUACCCCACCAUCAGGUUCUACUGGCAUGGCCAAAACCAUAUCUUCGGCUUCUUGGAGAUGUCCACAUUUCCCUAAGAGAUCCACCAUACAAGCAUAAUGCUUCAGGUUAGGCUCAAGUGAGUAUUUUGCCAUUCUAGUGAACAGCUUCCUGCCCUCCUCAACAAACCCUGAAUGGCAGCAAGCAGAUAGAAUGGCAAGAAAGGUGACACCAUUAGGCUUAACACUUCCACUCUCCAUCUCAUCAAAUAAUUCUAAUGCUUGUUUUGCUUCCCCAUGCAUCCCACACCCUGAUAUCAUCACAUUCCAAGCAACAACAUCGCGUUGAAGCAUAGAAUCAAAAAUCCUUCUUGCAAUUCCAAGUUGCCCACAUUUAGCAUACAUGUCAACAAGUGCCGUACUGAUUGAUACAUCAGAUUCCCACCCCAUAUCUUUCACAUAAGAAUGUAUCUGCUCCGCGCGUUCCAAUGUAGCCAGGUUUGCACAAGCUGAAAUGACAGUGAUCAAGGUUGCUGAGUUGGGUUUCAAACCUUCAGUGAGCAUUUGAUCAUACAGUGACAAUGCAGAAUUUAAAUGCCCCAGAUAAGCAUAGCUGGAAAUCAGUGCAUUCCACGUGACAACAUCCCCCUUCAGUUUGGUCAGGGCAAAUAUUUUGCAGGCAUGAUCAAAUUUUCUGCACCUUCCAUACAUGCCAAUUAAAACAUUUGCAACUGACAAAUUAUCGUCAAGCAAGUGCUUGACUGAAUAACAGUGUGAAGAUUGACCUAGUCUUAGUUCCUCUAGCCGUGAGCAAGACGAGAUUGCGGAAACCAAGCUAUUGGCAUCACACAGGAAUUCAUCCUUAUCUCUGAACUGCAGUUCACGGUACAGCUCCAAGCAUUUGACAUCACAUCCAGCUUUCCAGUAUCCUACAAUCAUCAAAUUCCAUGAUUCCGCAUUUUGUUGAUGCAACGAUCUAAAAACUCUGCCUGCAACGUCCACCAAUUCAAAUUUUCCAUACAUUGAUAUCAAAGCAUUGCCUGUCAAAACACUAUCUUCAAAGUUUCUCUUUGUUAUAAGCGCAUGAAAUGCCUUCCCUCCAAGCACAUUUCCACUUUUACCCAACCCUGCAAGAAGACAACUAACGAGAACCUCAUCUGGCUGCAGAUCAGACUCCUCCAUCUCCUGAAAUAACUCCAUGGCCUCCCUAAUAAGCCCUCUCCAACAGUAAGCUCCAAUCAAGCUAGUCCAGGAAACCACGUCUUUCUCUGGUAACUCCGGGAACAAGACAGACGCACCCUCAGUGUUGUGACACUUCGAGUACAUUGAGAAAAGUGCAGAAGCCACCAACGGGGAAUCACCAACCCCGAUCUUCAAUACAUACCCAUGCAAGCAUCUACCUGAAUUCAGCUCACCUAGCAACCCGCACGCCUCCAAGCCACUCUCCAUCGUCCGUGAGUUUGGCCUCGUCUCUCCGUUGCCUGCAAGCCUGAUCAUCUCCACCAGAUAGCGCAACCCGUCCGCACACUGCCAAUUCCGCACGCACCCAGAUACCACCGCAGUCCACGCGACCACGUCCCUGUCAGGCAUUUCCUCGAACACCUUCACCGCGUCCCCGACGACGCCGCACCUGGCGUACAUGUACACCAGCGACGACGCGACGGCGACGGAGCCGCCAUCGCCGACGAGGAGGCCGCACCUGACGCAGUACGCGUGCACGGAGGCGCCGACGCCGAGCGCGCCCAGCUCGGCCGCGGCUGAGGCGGCGAGCGGGGCGGUGAAGCGGGAGGGCCGCGCGCCCGAAGCGAGCAUGCGGCGGUGCGCGGCGAGCGCGGCCGCGAAGUCGGAGGCGCAGUGGUGGGCGCGGAUGAGGGAGUUCCAGAGGAACGCGUCGGGGCGUGGGGAGGCCGAGAAGACGAGCGCGGCGAGCCCGGGGCGCCCCGCGGAGGAGUAGGCGGAGACGAGCUUGGCGGCGAGGUCGGGGCGCGCGGAGAGGCCCGAGGUGACGGCGAGCGCGUGGACGCGGAGGAGCUCGGGCUGCGGCGGGGGCGAGGGCGACGAGAGGAAGCGGGAGAGGAUGGCCAGGGGGGUCGCGGUUUGAGGAGGCGGCAUCUGAUUGCUCCUUCGAAAAGGUCACUUCGGUCGGGCGAGCUAGAUUAUACACGGAGCACUUCACAGUGUCGGGCGCUUCAUCAGAAUUCAGAAACGAAUCGCACGGGGACAUCGAUUCAAAGUAAAAUAGCGGUGAAUGCAGAGUCAGAUCCUAGUUCGAAAAUUUAACUCGCUUUCUGUUAAAAAGGGAAAACAGGAACGUGUAAUAAUAAAGUGUAAAAAUACCAGUAGACUCAAGAUUAUCCAAAUAUCCUUUUUUUGCUGCGAUCUUGGCACACCUGUGUGAAAACUGCGAAUGAUAAGAGUGCAGACUAAACAGCCCAUGAUAAAGUACACCCUGUCCUGAAUUCGUUAACAGCACAAGUACAAGCCGCUUUGUCGUAAGGGCUUUUUAUUGAAAGAGCACCGUCCUGUACAUAAGUUUCUGUCCAUGCGCAGGAUUGAUGAUGCGUCUUCCGUGAAUGAUGCGCUCCAUUCUCCUGGCGUGAACUCGUUUACAGCUUCGAUGGAGACUGGUACCAUCCCCAUGGCUCAUCCGAGCAGUACUUGGUGACUUGCUUGACGGUCAGGUAGUUGCUAAGGCCCCUGAAAGGAACGGCAAACACAAUUCAGAGGGCAAGGAUUGCAGAACCUUUUGUUUAGCAGUGAUGACAACAAAUUGUGCGAUCUUUCAAUAUUGAUGCAUUACUUAAAGCAAGCUGCAGUUGCUUUUGGCAAAUGUAGCCAACUCACCAUUCUCCAAGCUCACGACCAAAACCGCUCCGCUUGUUCCCUCCCCACGGAGCUUGGACAAAGGUUGGUUGAGAGCAAUUUAUCCAAACAAUACCAGAAUGAAGAGCCUGCAGACGACAGAUUUUACACGUGUUACGGGAUGAAAUCCUUCCAUUUCAUGAUAAUUCUAACAUCCUUGCAACUAAUCAGCAGGUGAAAUCAAUGUUCAUGUCAUACUAACUUACCUUCGAAAUGCGCUCACACCUCUCUUGAUCAUUAGAGAUCACUGCACCAGCCAAACCAUAGCUGAAAAGAAUUGAUAGAGAAGGCGAAUGAACAAUAUAGGCAUGAAAGGGUUUUCUUUUUCCAUAUUGCAAAAUCAUGCAAUAGUGACUCACUGAGUAUCAUUUGCAAGUUCCACAGCUUCACUCUCUGUCCUGAACUCUUUGACACAGAUGACUGGUCCAAAGACUUCCUCUCGCCAAAUUUGCAUUGAUGUGGUAACAUCUGUUAUAAUUGUAGGUUCAAUAAAGAACCCUCUUCUGAGGUGCUGAAAGUUGAUCAAUGUAGCUAGGAUCAAUAGCCAAGGAGCCAAAAAAGGGAUAGUGUAACAAAGGAUGCUUACCUGUGGUCGGGCACCACCAUAUAAAAUUGUGGCACCUUCGCUUCUUGCUGUUGAGAUGAACUUCUUUAUCUUUUCAUACUGAAAUAUGAAAUAGAGCUCUUCAGUUGUCUAAAUAAGAUUUGUGUAUUACACAAUGGUGCACUUCUUCAGUUUAAGACACGCGGAGCUGUGAAUGCCACAUGCAAGUAGGCCCUGUCCAGACUCCAGAGUCCAGACUAUUCGAAGUCGGUAUUGAAAACAACUGCAUAGAAUUAUAUUUUUCUGUAGGGUAAUGUGCAAAGAAGUAAAACUAUUAAGAGUUUCUUGUGCAAGGGAUCAUCACUAUUGUCGUGAUUUUGAACAGUUAUUUGUUUUGGACAUAAUCUCUUCAUUGCAGUGUUUACAGAUUCAUAAAAGGUACAUAUUUGCAACAAAACAUCAACAAGUGUGAUGUACUUCAUAAGCAUUACCUGCCCUUCACUGACAACAGACCCCAGCCUGCAGCCUUCCUCCAGUGGGUUGGAGAUUUUGAUAUUCUUGGCCCAUGCGACCAAUCUAUCCAAGAAUUGCUUUGCUAUUUUCUCCUGUGAAUUUUCUUAUGUCAUGUGUUAGAAAUAUUACUUGCUGUCUAAAACAGCUAGAAGAAAUACAUACAUGCAGAAGUAGACGAGAAGUAGCACUGCAGACUUGACCAGCAUUCGCAAAGAUCCCAAACAUGGCCCAUUCAACAGCUGAUUUAAAUUCACUGAGACCUUAGUACAGAUAACAGAAUUUGCCACAAAAUUAGGGGCAUAAUGCAACAUGAGGGGGAGGAAGAGACCUUUGUCAAUGUCAACGUCAUCAAAGACAAUAAGAGGACUUUUGCCUCCAAGUUCUAACGAAACAGGCUGUUGAAGAAGAAAUAAACAAUGGAAUAAGAAUAAGAAUUAUAUGAUAUAGAAAGCAUGAUUUGCAUGGUUUUUUUUCAUCAACAGAAGCAUAACGAUCAUAAGCUGAUGGAAUUUAUUUAGGAUGUGGAAAUAUACUGAGAAAGGAUAGGCAACUAAGAGAACAGACCUUAACCAUUUGGGCAGCAGCAGUCAUUAUUCUCUUACCAGUCUCUGUACUUCCGGUAAAAGCAACCUACAAAACAGAGCCAAAAAAAUUUGAUAACUUCAGAACUGAUGAUAAUUAUGGGUGCAAAUGGGUGACCCUUAGUUGCACCUCCAACCCUCUUUAGUUCAAAUAUCUAUACUACUUUUCUAAAAUAGAAUCUCAUUUUGGAGAAGUAGUACAAAUAUUUGAACUAAAAAGGAUUGGAGGUGCACCUAAGGGUAAUAAAUGUACAUCCCUAAUGAUAAUCAUGUCAGAUACGCGAUGUCCAUCAGCAUAUGAGUAUAUACCCAUUGAGAAAGAGGUCUUACCUUAUCCACAUGGGGAUGUGAAGAUAAUGGAGCACCAGCUUCAGUGCCCAGACCAGUAAUUAUGUUCAACACACCUGGAGGUAGGCCUACUUCUAUGCAUAUUGCACCAAGCUCUAAGCAAGUCCUGAAUUCAGACCAGAUUUUAGUCCUAGGAUAUAACAUUUUAUUAUUAAGUGACGUCAAAGGUAUCAAGCCUUACAGAGAAGCCAACUCCGAUGGCUUUAACACAGCUGUACACCCAGCAGCCAAGGAAGGUGCGACCUUCCAAGUAGCCAUCAACAGAGGAUAGUUCCUUCAUUUACACAUGGAAAACACAAAAUGAAUCAGAAUGGUCAUCUGAAAAAAUAAUUACAAAAACACCAACAGAAACAGCUACACUUUAUCAACUACUAAAGGUUUGAAGAACAUGUUGAAUUAAAGCAUAUGUCAUACCAAGGAGUGAUCAGUCCAACAACCCCAAUGGGUUCUUUAAGUAUAUGGGACUUGAAAUUUUCCAUAGGUAGAGAGAUUGGUGAACGUUGCUUCUCAUCUAAAGCCUCUGCCAGAUCAGCAUAGUACUCAAAGCAUGCAGCAACAUCCUCCUAAUGUAAAAUGUAAAGACAUUGAUUAAAACAUGGAUCAUCUUGUUUCUUCAGGCACACUGAAGAUCGGAAUGCAAAUAAUUGAAGCUACCAUAUCCGCAUUUGUUUCAUCCAGAGGCUUCCCGGAAUCAAGUGUCUCCAGCAAAGCCAGAUCAGAUUUCCUAUCGUUAAUCUGCACCCAGCAACAAACAUUUAAAGAAAUUUACUGACAGUUAAAAAACCGGCCAGUUAACAGAUGGAUGGCAAUGGGAAAUUUUCCCCAUACUAACAGUGGUUCAGCAUUUGGAUUUUCCAUUUAAAAUGCAUCAAACAGCAAAACUAGUAAACCUUCCACAUUCACACACAAACUAAUCUUAAAUGACAACAGUAGCAUCAAAUGCCGGUGACUUAGUGGCUAAUAGCUGCAGAAUGUCUACGUUUCAAGAUUUUGCUAUGCGAUGUUGAGAGACAAGUGCCAAUGCCAGUGCCACGGCAUAGCAGGAACAAGGUUAUCUAUGAUGGGAGCCUACACUGUCGCCAUCCUUUUAUUACCUCAAAGCUAAAACCUCUAUGCCUUAGAAAAUACAGAAGAUUAGCAGACCCACGAUUAGCGGAAGUUCAUACACAACAAUCAAACUAAUCAACGGGGGUAAAAUGAUACCAGAUGACUGGAAAAACAAAAGAGCCAUAGUCAUCUGACAAUUGUUCAGCAGUCAUCCAUCUCGAUCACGGCUCAUUUUUUGUUCUCCAGAAGCCAUCUAUCACCCUAAUCUAGCUAGGAGCUCCCUUCCUAGUCGCCCUGAAAUUAAAUCCGUUCACACAGCAACGAGAUGUUCAAGGCCCCAACAAACUUGAAAUCACCCAGCUACUUCUGAUUCUGAGGGGACACAUAGUUCGCACCUUGGCAGCGAUCGCCCUGAGGAACUUGGCCCGCACGGCCCCAGGGGCGCGCGACCAGUGCCUCCCGCCGUCGCGCGAGAACGCGUCCCGCGCCGCCGCGACCGCGAUCUCCACGUCCUCCGCCGUGGCCGCCGGGAUGUCGCCUUCACCGAUCACGACACACACAAAAAAGGCCGAGUUCAGUACCGUGCUAGCAGUAUGUUGUCGGAGCGGUGGAAAGGCCAGAAGGGGGAGCGCGGGCCGGACGAACCGAUGGUGGCCUCGGUGGCCGGGUUGACGACGGGGAGGCGGCGCCCGAGCGCCGGCUCCCUCCACCCCCCGCCGAUGAAGAGGCCGCGGCGCGGGAUCGUCGGCGGCGCGGCCAUGGCGACGCGAUAGAUGGACCGGAGCCGAGGAGCGCCCUGCUGCUGCUGCUACCGCGGCCGCCGCCGCCCUGCUAGCGUUUGGUGGUCGAACGGCGAGCAACGAGCACGAGGGAGGCGUGGGGUAUGACGCCGCGCCGCACCACUUUUUGAUCUGGACUCCGCUAGUGCUGGUCGCGUCACGUCGCAGGGGGGCUAGGCCACUAGCGUGCUGGCACUGCUGCUGGCCUAAUCAAAUGGGGAUAGAUGGAUACUCCCAGAUUCCCAGAGGCUCCCAGCUCGCCGUGCUUCGCAAUUUCCAAUUAUUGCUUUAGUUGCGGAAGGCGAAGGCCUCUUUGUGUCGUGAUGAUUGAGAGAUGGGCGCGCCCCGCUUGCCAUGCGAGCAGCGAGGAGAUUGGCGCGUCGUGUACGGGGCGCGGGUGCCCCGACCCGCCACCCGUGCCGUCGUGCAGACUUCGGUGACCGUGGGUCUGGGGUGUCGCCACCAGCGUCUCCAUCUCCCCGCGACUUUUGGCAGAGGAAAGCGGCGGGCUCGUGCCAUCUGUCGACGGGCUGAACGUCUGUGCUGACAGCAAAAGGAGCGUAGUGGGCAAAGGUCGCUUUUGUUUGUCAUGCUACUGUCAUGUGAACUCGCACACUAUGAUGCGUGGCUGCAUCUCCAUGUACCCGUGCCAUGCAUGAUGCAUUGUUCUCUGGGCUUUUAUCUAUGAACUGCUAAGCUAAGAUAAUGGAGAGUUACAUGGAGCCUGUGAUUUGAUACAGACAUACAGUCAGUAUAUACCAAAUUUAAGCCCGGACAGAAGUUCAUAUCAGCCUCCCUUACGCCAAAUGGAGAAGAUGAGCCCUCACCUAUUGAACCACCAACUGCAAAAAUAAUUGCUGAACCUGCUGGUGAUGAUGGAUUGGCACCCCUGUCACCUCCAUAGAAAUUGCCAUGGAAAGGAAUGCCAUGGUGAUAGUUUGAAGAAGGGAACCGCUGGUAACCUGGUUGGACGACUCCAAAAGGAUUGAAAUGUUGUGGGAAGUAGUGAGGUGGAAAGGACCUGGGAUCAUAUUGAUGUGGUGGAAAAAUCGUAGGCAUAUGGGGUUGGAAACCAUGUUGCUGUGUGUUUGUGUUUUGAGGAUUUGAGCUUGGAAGUGAGGAAUUUACCAGAUCUGUGAAACUAGAUGAGGAAGAGUGCUCCAUUGUAGCUAUGUGUGAGUUUGAAUAUUUGCAUAUGUGAACUUUCAUGUAUGUAAGAUGGAGACAAGCAAUGGCCAUAUACACUGUGCACUUAUUAUUUUAUUUGAAGUGGGUGGGUGAGGGAGAGGAGGAGUCCAUACGGGCAGCUGAAUAUUUUAUUAAGCACCAGCAGCUUACGAGUCGAACCGAGUUUGGAAUCUAUUUUGAGUUCUGACACCCACCAUUUAACUGCCGCAAUGCAAAAUUCGAUUUCUAGCAACUACGGUUCGAUUUUGGAACACACUAGAGCUGGCCUUACUACUUUCUGUUCUGGAUUUUUGCAGAAUAUUAGUUACUGCAAAAGAAGAUAAAACCAAAGGCACAACAACCUGUGUCACGGACUCAAGGAGUAGCAGAUGUGAUGCUUCCAACGUGCUGGAAGAUAAUGUUCACCUUAUGGAUGAGUAUGCGUGUAUAUGAGGGUAUGUUUCGUAAAAGAAAAAUGUGAUGAGAGCUUUUGUGCCUGCAAUACUGAGGCACAUAACAAAGUACCAAGAGGUGAUCUAGUCUAGAGGAAACAACUUAUCCCCCUGCAGAUGCAGAUGGAAGAUAAUGUUCAUUUAGAGUCGUAGAAAAAGGUAAAUGCUUUCAACAUUCUGAGAACACGAAAUUAAAAUAUAUAAAUAUAAUAUGACGUUAACACAUCAUAGGCAACGUGGAGAUUUUUUAGUGUGUACCACCAUUAUAUACGCUAUCGCUUAUAUAAAAACUAGCGCAUAUAUUUUGCCAAGCCAAAAUACUUGGCAUGGCUCCUGAUCGAAUAUCGUCACACCUUAUCCUUUGGCGUGGCAAACCUGCUAUGCCACAUGAAUUGGCAUGAAUGGGUUGGCUACGAUGCUAAUCCUAUUUGGCGCGCUAGGGAUAUUAUAGAGUGCAGUCAUGCUGGUAUAUAUGUGGUGGAUCAAACGCUGUUGUUCUAGUAAUUUUGUUUUCAAAAUAUUUCCUCCGUUUUAAAAUGCAGAUCAUUUCGGCAGAUUUAGAUAUAUAAUCUUUGCUAUGUAUCUAGACACAAUAUUUUUCUAGGUGUAUAAAAAAAUUAAGUAUAUAGAUUUAUCAAAAUGAUCUAAAUCUUGAAAUGAAGUAGUAGUAAGUAAGAUGGAUAAGAACUGUGUGAAGAGCCUUGGACACACACCGAUCGUGGAGAUGAACAACUGACAUGUAGCUCAUGUGCGACAGCAUCCCCAUUGUCUUACAUGUUUGUUUUACAUAAGCUUUUGCUUGUUUACACAAUUCUUUCUGGCUGAUUCCUAUAAAUUCUGACGAUUCUGGUUACUCAAAACCGUCAGUACGUGAGUGUCCUCCCUUCCUCCAUUGUAAGUCUUACAGUUCUGGUUGCCGAGCGUCUAUUAUAAGCAAUAAAAAUAUGUGGCAAUAUCUUUUCGGAUCGAGAGGCACUUUUCUGAUGUUCAAAUAUCCUGAAAAUGCAGGGCUUCAACGUUUACAGUAUCCUCCAGCAAUGACACGUACGUAUCCUUGUCAUGAUGACCCGGGACGCUAUCAACAGAAUUGUGGAGAGGAUGCACACACCCAUCAACCGCUACCCCAACAAAUACUUGUCAUGAUGACACGUACGUUGAUCAUAGAACUCAGCGUGCCUUACCGGCCGUGUCCAGUCCCUGCUACCGCAUGGGAGACAUCACCAACAUUUUCUUCAGUUACAUGCUGGUUGUUUGCAACAUGAUCACCUUGUCAGGAUCAACAUUGCCAUCACCUCUUCCACCUCUCGAGCACGCAACACCUCGUCAGUCUUUCACCGAAAGUUUCUGCUAAUAACUCUAGGGGCUACUAAUAACUCUAGGGGCUAGUUUGGAAGCCUAAAAUCCCGCUGGGAACCCGACCUUUUCCCGGGGCUGGAAGCCCGCGCGGAAAUUAACCCCGGGCUAAAUUACACGGCAAUUUGGGAGCCUAUCGGACGGGGGAGGUUGACCCGAACCCUGCGAUUUCCACGGGGCGGCUCCUCCCCACCUCGAGGGUCUGGGCAAGGAUUCCCGAGUGGCGUCGCGGGCGAUUCGUCGCGAUGAAAAGAAGGCGCCGCGCCGCCACCCCGCUUCCAUCCAGCGCCGUCGUACUGCCUCCGCCGCCCCGACUCCGUCGAGCGCCACCGCUCCAUCUCCGUCCCGGUGUCGCCGCUGCUCCGCCUCUUCCCCGACUCCGUCGAGCCCCACCGCUUCCCCGUCCAGGUGUCGCCGCGCCGACCUACAACGGGGCCUCCACCUCGGCCGGCUCCUCGCAGCUUGUGUUCCUCCUUGCUUAUGUGAGUUUCCUCCUUUCGUUGCUCAUAGAUAGUCAUGAUGCUCUCAAUCUCUAAUUGUAUUAGUUAAUGUAAUCACACACGCAGGCAGACACAGAGAGAACGAGAGAUUAAUCAAGCAGUCGAAUUUUGUUUGUGCAGGCAGAGUCCGUAUCAAUCAGGGCUUAUUAUCUUAUUCCUCUCUCCUAUGUGCAGACACAGAGGAAUUGAACUGAUCUUCCAUGUUUGUGCUAUGGCUUGUGGGUGUGAUGGGGGAUGUGUUGGGUGUUUGAUCUAAACUGCUGCUUGGGUUGGCAUCCUUGCAGUGCUGAAGGGAACUGGUUUGUGUCAGAAGUGGUCACAUGAACAUAUUAGUUUGUGUUAAUGUGGGAUUAAAAAGUUGCCCCAUGGUCUGAAAACCGUCUAACUCCUUUUCCUGUUUAUGCCUUUAUUACUUCAAACAUUUCCAGGGGUAGUUUGGGGCAUUAAUUUGCAUAGGUGAAUAAACAAUAAAAAAGAGAAAGUAUUGGUUUAGUCAGGAAGGCUAGCAUGUAGAAUUUCCAACACCCGGCACUGUUUUCAUGUUUUGAUAUGUUGCAUACCCGACUAAACAAAGAGGAAGGUCAAAAUUUGCUAGAUAUGCAAUUAUGUACUAGCAAAAAAUAAAGAAGAGAAAACAUUAGAGAUAGAUUAUCCAGAUGUCAAUCUCUGGAUGCAUAUGUAUGCUGCUUUACCUAAGAAAUUUUUCCGUGCUUCAUUAUCAGUUCUUUGGUUCCUUUCGAAUGGGAUGCAAAUUGGCUAGUACCACCCCUGUUAGUCAGCAGUUAAUUACUAGUUUUAUGUAGUGCUGAACAUGGAACAAGAGGCCGGUAAAGUGCUUAUGAUAUAGUGAACCAUGACUUGUUUGGUCGUGCAUCAUCAUUAUAUGAAAAUGUGUCUGAUUUAAUUUUCUCAUCACCAGAAAGCAGCCUAAGUAGCUCUGUACUGCAGUUCUGAGUGCAUCUUUCUGCAGAAAUGCUAGAGGGCAAAGUCACCUUUAAAUUAGGACCAACACGUUGCAUUUCCCACUGCUGAUGCUGCCCUGUCUGAUCAUACCACAACAGGGUCAUAUAGCUUCUUGAUCGCAACAUAAUCUGUUGUAGUGAGAAGUUUAGUUACAAGUAUAGUUCAGAAUGAAGUGUAGUUCACUCUAUACCAAUGCAUUAGUGAUGGCUUACUAUUUCAGUGAAAGGUAGCGAGUGCUCGUAGCACCUGGGGUUUGUGCAUCAGUUACAAGUACUGCCGUACUGGUAUAAGUUGUCUGCAGAACUGGUGUUUCAUUUUUUGCCUACUAUUACAUUGUGCACCAUUGUCAUGAGGUUUUAUUAUUGGUAUAAUUGCUGAUAUCUUAUGGAUCACACCAGCGAGGUGCUUCUUGAGGGCUUGACUAGCUUCUCCAAUUAGGUACUGUCCUGUCAUCUGUCAUUACAGUAUGCGUUGGUUAUGUCUGAUCCUGUCAGGUACUAACAAAAAUAUCCUUAAUUUAUUGAAUCAUCUGCAUUUGAGUGACAAGAACUACGUGGUUUUAAUACAAUUGGUCAGCAGUGUUUUCAUGCUUGGCCAAUCAUAUUUGAUUUGUAAUGUCAGCUUCACUUAGCUCUUUGCCACAAUUUCAGUUUUGUUUUAUUCCCUUGCUGCAGAAUAUUUUAGAUUUGCUCUUCAAAGAGUGCAUAAACCAUAUGAAACUUUCCUAGAAUGUGCAUACCAAUAUUGUUAAAUACAAGGAAUAAGGUCGGCCAUUUGUGUACCUUUUCUCAGUAAAUGCUAUUUUGAUAUUUCAUACAUAUGAGACGGCAAAUAUGAUUGGCCGCCCAUGUUAACAUCUACUAUGCCCUAUUACUUACCUCCUGAACCAUAGUUCUAUCUUGCUUGUCCAUAUUCAGUUACCAGUAGGGAUUGGUUAGUCAUCACAUGCCAUAGAUUAGCUUGUCCAUAUUGCUUACUGUUGAUCUAACUGCAGAUCUCAAUGAUCACUCUUGCAGAGGCGGUCAGAUGGCUGGAUAUCUACGUCUAUACCUUUUUUUAAGAAAAACUAAUUUGACUCUUGACAGACAUGCAAAUUGCAAAAAAAAACUACUUUCAGUUGUUGCCUUUUUGGGAAAAAAAUUAAGGAAAAGGAAAAUAAAAACACGGCAGCCAAUGUCACUGCCUUGCUUCCGAAAUUGCUUUUUGCAGGUCCGAUUAGAAACUACUCAAUGCAGGUUACCCAGCUCGUGAGAACUUUUGAGCUGUAGAAUAUACACAACGUAGAUUAGAUUAGACAGCGGCAGCACCACGCGCACUUCACGCCUAGACGUCGAUCAUAUUCACCGCCACGGCCACCUUCACCGCGUCCUCCUCCUCCUCCGGCUGCUUCGUCAGCUCCACGGCCCGCGUGAUCGCCGUGGCCGCCGCAGCGGGCGCCUCGCGCUUGUACUCGUGCCGGCUCGCGAAGCAGAGGAACCCCAGGAAGUUGAACACGCCGAGCACGGCGAGCAUCCAGUAGAACAGGUCCAGCCUCCCGUCGUCCAGGUCGUCCCGCACCCAAGCGCCCCCCGUGGCGGCGCCGACGGCGGCCACGAGCGCGCUGCUCAGGUAGAACCCCAUGGACAGGGUGGUGAGGAACAGGCCCGUGCUCAUGGACUUCAUCCGCUCGGGGGCCUCCCGGAUGAAGAACUCCAGCUGCCCGACGUACCCGAACGCCUCGCUGGCGCCCACCAGGAAGAACUGCGGCACCAGCCAGAACGCGCUGAUGGGGGCGCCGCCCGACGCGUCGCGGCGCUUCUUCUCGACGAGCGCGGCGGCGACCAUGGCAAUCGUGGAAAGGACCAGCCCCGUGCCCACGCGCUGCAGCGAGGCCAGGCCCUCUCGGCGUCCCGUGAAGCGGCGCGCGAGCGGGACGAGCAAGCGCUCGUUGAGCGACGUGAAGAGGAGGAUGGCCAGGUACAGGAAGACGGCCAUGGACCCCGCGGGGACGACGAAGCCGGCGCCGCCGACGCGGCGGUUCAUGCGCGACGCCUGCUCGAUCGUGAAGGUGUUCAUCUGGGAGUACACCGUCCAGAAGAGGAUGCAGGUGGACCAGAUCGGGAGCAGCUUCACCACCAUCUUCACCUCCUCCACCUCCGUCAGCGUCGGCCCCGCCGCCACCGCCGGGUGCUCCGACGCCAGGUCCACGUCCAGGAUUGCAGCUUUAUCCAGAAAGCUAUUCUUGCAAAAAUAAAAAAAAAUUGGAAAUAAAUGCUACAUCAUCGACAACUGCCACCAUGCAAAAGACAAAAAAAAACUAAAAGAAACAAAAAUUGUUCGUGUUAGGAUUCACAUAAUCUGUCGCUGUCAACUUUGAUGCUUGGAUAUAUAGUAUGUUGAUUGCCAUCGUUCGCUCCCCAAUUCAGUGUGUUUACCCUACAAAAUCUGCUGAAAGCAAGCAUGGACGGUGUGCUCUAGGCCGUUCCGGCAAAGUUUGUGCUAGCUGCGAAAAUCGUCCAUGGUGCUCCCAGAAACGCCCCAAGCUUUGAUCCGGAACCGUCAGUGCUACGUUUCUUUGGAGGAGAAGACUUUGUAACUUAGCAUGUCGGUGACCUCCCUUCAGUGCCCAAGUGCAAGUGAUUAGCUGCGAUCGACGUGAUUGGCCCAUGGACCUAGUGCAUUCAGUUUGGGGCUAAACUUUGGUCUUGGCUGUUUUCCUUGUCCUAGCAUGAUCUUACGUGUUGCAUUGGCAAGAUAACACGACUUUGUCUCUUCAGAUUCUCUUGUUCAUCAUUAUUUCGGCCGCCUUAGUCAGUAGCUACUUACAAAUAUGCUUCUAGCCUUCUACUAAUACACACAUUUACUAUAUGAAGUAUAUGAAACCCUUAUCAGUCCACGAUCCAAAUUACCACGUUUUCGUGAUUUGAUUUCUUCCGAUACUAAUAGCAAUCAAGAUUAGCCCCCCUUCUCAUGUCCUAUACUACAAAUACACAUCUGUCAUGGCAUCAUGAUUCUGUGUCAGUAGUCUAGCUAAUUAGCUUCAUGACAACUACUUUUGCUGCUUGAUCUACUACGCAGGCACGGCUGCUUCAAUUCUUAAUUCUGUGGCACCACCGCUUUACAAGAUUAAUGAUCGUAAAAACUUUGGAAGCCAGUAAUUAUGCUAUCUGCGCACGAGUAAGUUAAAGACAAGUACUAGAUCGAUUGGUAAAUUCGCGUCAAAAGUAUACGAAAAAGCAAAGUAACGCGACGUGCAGUGAGACUGCACGGGUGUUCGAUAAUUAAUUACCUGAGCCUGUCGGUGUGCGGCACCUUGGCCCUGCUGAAGCCGCGGAGCUCGCUGGCGUCCGUGGGGCAGGGCAGCUUCCGGUUCCGCCACGCCGCCCAGAGCACGCGGCCGAUCACCGUGAGCGGGCUCCCCUGGGGCCUCCGGUACCGGUACCUCCGCGAGCCGGCCACGAACACCGCCGUGGCGAGCGCCAUCACGACCGCCGAGACGCCGUACCCCCAGGUGCGGCCGACGUUAUCCUGCACGUACACCAGCACGGUGGUGGCGAAGAGCGAGCCCAGGCUGACCAGGAAGUAGAAGCGGCUGAAGAAGAAGACCUCGGCGCGGCCCUCCCGCGGGUCGCGCCCGUCGAACUGGUCCGUGCCCAGCCCGGACACGUUCGCCUUCAGCCCGCCCGCGCCCACCGCGAUCGUGUACAGCGCCAAGUACAGCAGCGCCAUCUGCCUGCCGCUCGCCGGCGCGCACCCGCCGGCCGCGCCGCCGUCCGCCUGGGCGCACGGCGGCGGCCGCAUCCCGGGCACCGCCGUGCUCGCUGCUAGCAAGGCCAACCCCUGCAAUGAAGCGACCGAUCAGCAGAGACCACAGCACGAGAUCUCGAGAUGAUGCGAAACACGUUGAGUUUUCACGUACGAUGGUGGCGACUGUGGCGGAGGCGGCGAUGGUGCGGUAGCGGCCGAGCUUGGCGUCGGCGACGAAGCCGCCGAGGAAGGCGAGGAGGUUGAGCGUGCCCAUGAAGUUGGUGACGAUGUUGGCCGACUGGGCGUUGGAGAGGUGCAGGGCGCCGACGAGGUACGUCACCAUGUUCGUCGAGACGCCCAUCACGCCCACCCGCUCGGCGAGCUCCGUGCCUGGAACACCGGGACAGCAUCAUCUCAUCAGAAACACGCACGAGCGAAACAUGGCAAGCAUCAGUACGUACCGGCGAUGAGGGCGGCGGCGAGCCAUCCGCCGGUCCUGGACUUGUCCACCGGGUCGCCCAUGUAGUCCACCACCACCAAGCCGUCGUCGUCGGGGCCAUUGCCGCCGGCGUCGUGGCCGCCGACGAUUCCGCCGGCGGAAACCUCACGCAUUGGAAUUCCGCAAAGCCACAAACUACAGCUAGUUGUGCAGCAACGAGAUACCAACCAUGAUGCCGACGAGGAGCUGCUCCCGGGCUGGUAUUUGUUUUCCGGACGAGGGACGGCGGAUUGUUUGGGAAGUUGCAGACCGUAUCAACCUCCAUAUUGGCCGUGCACCGUUACACCAUUGCUGUUCUUAACCUUGUUCCACACGAACUUGUACUCGACACAAUCCGAUAAGAUAUUCCCAAAAGACCGUAUGGUUCUGGAUGCUUGCUAGUACGACUCGUACACUCUGACUGCAGGUUGGUAGUUUGACGAUGCCACGAGUCAGAUUGUCCGAUCAAUACUGUCCUCAAUUUGCAUGCCACAGGAAUACUUCGCCGGAUCGAUUGAGAAUGUUUUCCAUCAACCUCUUUUUGGAGGGGCCACUGGGCACGUAAGUACUGAUAAAUCAUCGAGGUAGUGUUCAUUGGAUUUGCGUAGGACAUGUGCAAUGCAAAGAUAAGAUAUUUUGUUGUUACACGAGUAAGAACCUGUAGAAAAGCUGGUCUCUACAAUACAAAUAAGUGCUUACACAUGCUUAGUCACUUUAUUAGCAUACAUAAAGCGCCUUGUGACUUAAGUAUCCUAUCCACCUUAUGGGCAUCUGUUGCAAAUGACAUGGUGAAAAAAAAAAUCGGUUUUCCUCAUAUAAUCACAAUGAUCGGCAUUAUUGUCCAUGCCCUUAUCCUUGGUGUUGUUAAUUGGGCUCGUUCUCUGGUGGGCCCCCAGCCUCUAUUCAACAUGGGCUUGCUUCGUAGACGGCUCGGUGCGUGCGCGUUUCUUCACGGCCCAACGGGCCUCUAACGAUACGGGCACCGUCGCAUCGCACCGACGACGACGUCCCCGUCUCCGUCCGAUUCUUCUCCUGCUGCGGCAACGCGUGCGUGAUGCCUCCGCAACCGCGGCCCGGUAUAUUCCAAUCCCCACGCCUCUAUCGACCCACCCAAAGCAGAGCUGUUCGACUCGCCGAGUACACACGCGCGAAGCGCGAGCCAAACCCUACCCCCCAGCCGCGACCCCGAUCCCCCAACCUCGUCGGCGAUGAGCUCCUCCUCCAACGGCGGGAAGAAGCCGGCGACCGGCGGCGGCCGCGGGGGGCCCACCAUCCGCACGCUCGCCGACAUCAACCGCGGGCCCGCCGGCUUCCCCGGCGCCGGGGGCAGCGGCAGCGACUCCGACGAGCCCCAGGAGUACUACACCGGCGGCGAGAAGAGGUAUAUCUCAGUCUCUUUCGGCGGGUUAUGUUGACCGAUUGGCUUUACUCGUAGGAUUUCCUGGCGAUCGUGCGUGCGGGUAUGGGAAUCGCAGCCUCUUAAUUUUCUGAUCUAUUAGGUCCUCUCGUUAGUGUGAGAAGGGGAUUCCGGGUGAAUUCGUUGGAUUUGGUUUAUUCGGCGUUUCCAUCUGUUAGUUUUGCGUGGAUUUGCUUUUGAUUCCCAUGCGAGCUGUGCGAGUUAUAGGGCAACUGUCUGAGCGGUAGCAGCCUAUCAGUUGCAACAUACCAAAAAAUUGAGUUGAGUUUUAUGUGCGGUACUACUUUUUAGUCGGAAUUUUGCACGACUGGAUUGCGUUCUGCAUGAUUUGGGUGUGAGUGUGCUUGUUUAUUUUGGAUUAUGCGAUAUUUCUGUCCAUGGAAAGUCACCAGGUGAAAAAUGUGAAUCAUCCACACUUAGACUACUAGUAAGCUGCAUGCUCUUUGCGCCUUGGAACAAAAUCAAUGCUCUUUGCAGCUGUUGGAUAUUAAAACUUGUGCUACAUACUCUGACCGAAAUUUAAUAGUGAAUUAUAUAUCCACCUAUACCAUGCAUCCCUCAAAACAUGAUGGAAAAUUGUUCUACACAUGUAGCUAUGUGCUAGCAAAAAUAUUUCUUUUAUGCAAAUCUUGUUGUGUUUAAACCCUUAGUUUAUUUAUUUAGGUUGCCUUGAAAUUCAACUUUAUGUGACUAUUUUGAUUGUGAUUUGAUGUAAUGAGUCAUAAACAUUAGGUGUGGGUAAGAAACACUGAACAUAGCCACUGAAGCCUGAAGGUACCGAAAAUUGUUAUCAUAGAUGUCACGUCUAAGUAGUUUAUUUGAAUCAGCAAAAAAGUUGUUUUGAAGUUACAAUAGAGGAUACAUGCCCUAGUAAUUUCUUUGCACACAUUGCUUGAUUAUUUCAAUUUUAGUAUAGCAUGAUGUGCACCAUGAUUAUUUGAAAGAAAGAAAAACAAUAUGUGCCUGGUUUUUAGGCCGGUUCUUUCAGUCUUAAAUAUGUAGAAUCUGGUAGCACUAAAACAUAUACUGAUUUGGUUGGCAUUCUUGGAGGGGGGACUUUAUGUGGGAGGCCAAAAAAAAGGAGAAUUCCUAAUAGUUGCACUUGCACCUGAGCUUCUUGUUUUUUUAAAGCUUUCCUACGGAGUGAAGGCCUAUCGGAAAGAAAGUAAUAUUCAUAAUUAGUGUCCCAUGUAAAAGCUGUUUUACUCUUUCCUUGGAUGUACAGACAACAUGACCCUAUAUGGUGCAUUGUCUGGUAAAUGCAAAGGCAUCCUUUUCUACUUAUGGAGCCCACUUUGUUCCCUGCAGACUUAAUGCAAAACAUUGAGAAGUAGAUCAUCAUAAUGUUUAGUCUCACAAAUGGCUUUAGAGAAGAUCUCCACAAUUUUUAGAUUAUUUUUUUGUUCAAGUUUUUUAGGUUGAUCUUGUGUUCUUUCAAGUAAUUUUUCUUUGUAUGCGUGCAGUGGGAUGCUUGUUCAAGAUCCAACUAGAAGGAAUGAUGUGGACUCAAUCUUUGAACAAGCCAGGCAGACGGGUGCUAUCCAAGCACCACCCCCUUUCCUUGAUAACCAGUCUUCCAGCUCGAGGAGCUUUACAGGGACCGGCCGACUGCUUUCAGGGGAGACAGCACCAUCUGCUGCGCCUGCGGCUGCACCUGCAUCUCAGGAACCAGUUCACAUACUCCACGUCAUACACUUGUGGAACAAUGGUUUCAGUGUAGAUGACGGUCCACUGAGAGCCUAUGAUGAUCCUGAAAAUGCAGAAUUCAUUGAGGUGAUUCCUUCUACAUAAUAUUUCUGGAUAACUUUAUCUAUACCAAGUACUCCCUCUGUUCUCAAGUAGAUACGUAUAACAAUGUGUCGUCAAACUCUAGAAACUUUGACCACUACUAUAUGAAUAAGUUCAAAAAUUGUUGCAUAAAAUGGCACUAGUAGAACAAUGGUCAAAGUUUUUGAAUUAUAGACUGAAGAAAUGUCAAAACCAACAAGUAAAUUGGAGGGAGCUUGUUGGAUACUGCAAGCCACAAUCCACAAUCUACAAGCUGAAACUAACAGGGCUUUAAUACAGUUUAUCAUGUUGAAAAUGCCAUCAAUUCCAUUAGUCAUUCGACCACUUUCUUGGGCCCAAUAUCUGGUUCACCUCAUGUGAAACUCAAACUUUGACUCGAAAUAUGAGCUGGAAUCUCAAAAGCACCCUUAAGUUAACUCAUUAAAAGUUGACACAGACCUCAGGCUUACUGUGCCACUGUAUUGUGCCAGGGAAAAAAACAUAAAAUGGUUUGGCUGCAUUGCUGGUUCUCUGUGAUUUUCUUUUCCCUGAUACGCAUGUCUUGUACAGCAUAAUGUUGGGCUGUUCCGUUUGUUCUCUUUCAAUAUAAAGAUUUGGUGAGCUGUUAUUUAAGUUGUUGGUUAAGUAUUGUAACAGAGUAUCAUGGACUGUUUGGCUGCCUUUUUUUAUCUUUCUGUAGAUCAUGUAAAUGUAAAUAUGAAUAACGUGAUUGCUGAGGCUUAAGAUGUCCCAGUGUAAGAUUUCUGUAGUUCUUCAUAGCUAAAGGAAUUCAUGCCAACUGUGCCUUUGUUUGGUUUUCAGAGCCUUAAGAUGUCCCGGUGCCCCCAGGAACUGGAGCCUGCUGACAGAAGCACACCAGUUCAUGUGAAUGUUAUGAAAAGACUUGAAGAUUACCAGGUAAGUUCUCCACCCUUCGUCCAUUUAUGGCUGACCUAGUUGCAUUCUCAAUACCUCCAGUACAGUACAUCUAUCCUCUCUUGUCUUGUUCAUGUAGGAACCGAUAAGGCCCCGAUCAGCUUUCCAGGGUGUUGGAAGAACACUUGGAGGUGGACUUUCUACAGAUGAGAGUUCAGCACCUGCUCCUGCUUCAGCGCCCCCUGCUGCUUCGAGGUCCACCAGCUUCGUUGUGGAUGACUCCCAGCCAUUUACAUCCAUACAGCUGAGGCUGGCCGAUGGCACUCGCAUGGUUGCCCGGUUCAACAUGCACCACACUGUGGGCGACAUCAGAUCCUUCAUUGAUGCAUCCCGGCCUGGAGCUGCGAGGCCAUAUCAGCUGCAGACUGGCUUCCCACCCAAGCAGCUGACCGACCCAACCCAGACUGUUGAGCAAGCUGGCCUGGCGAACUCUGUUAUCAUGCAGAAGAUCUAAUGCUUCACCGAGCUGGGAACCCAGAUGCAUAAUGCGUCUUUUGAAACUUGGUAUCGUCGAGUGGUUGGUAACCGGCCUAUUGCCGUGUCAGCCUCUUUGACAACCUAUCAGAGUUUAUAAGUUGUCAGUGAACAUGUAUACAUUCCUAUUUACAGCAACUACUGAAGUACCACAUUGACAUUUUCUGCGUCUGGUUAAUUGUUAUUGACGUUUUCUACAUCUGCCGCAUCCAUAAAAUAUGCCUUGAAAAUAUUUUUUAUGUUAUAAAAAUAUUUCUCUAACAAUUUGAGUUGAAUGUAAGACAAAUUUAGAGUAAAGUAUAUCCCUUUAGAACGAAAGGGAUUAGCAUUCAAAUAUGACGAAAGGGAGUAGCAUUCAAAAAUGACAAGAUCGAUAACGAGCAUGGCUCAAAAUUCUAUCUCUGAAUAUGCAUUUGCUACAAUAAGAAAACAAAACGUAACGACAUAUAACAUCUAUAUAUCCGUACUAGAUAAGUUUCAAGUCCGACAAGGCGACAGUGAGGGGUCUCAAUUUGGAUCUUUGUAACUGGCAUUUAAAACCCCCGCGGCAAGGCCUCAAACACGCGAACUCUUUUUUAUACGCACUUACUUUCUUCUUGUUUUUUUUGAAAAUUCGGGUAUGCAAACGAUAACAUUGAACCCUCGAUCAUGAAACAUGAGGAUAUAUACGGGUCAUUCAACCACUAAUACCAAGGGUCACACGCGUGGUGACAGUAGACAGGUCACACAGGGCCCAUCAACUGCCCACCACCACCGCUACCGCUCGCCGCACCGCCAAGGUAGAGGAGGAGUGGAGCAGCCGCCGGAGGUGGGGGGAGCGGCCACCGACGAGGUCGUGCGGCGGCCAGGGUGGUGGUCGAGGUGGCGGGGUUAGGAUUUCGGAUUGCCGGGCUUUCAAUGGGCGGCUGCUAUAGAAAGGGGAGGUUGGGGGCGACGGCAGCCCAGCGGUGGUGGCGGUUCGGCCGCCGGCGGAGGCGAGGAGGCGCGGGAACGCCGCUGGCCGAUCAGGCUGAACUCCGGUGGGCGGUGGCCGGCGGCGGGGAUAGGAAGAAGGCCAAGGCUACGGCGACGCGGCGAUAGGUGGUGGGUGGGCGGGCAGCGCGGCGACGGUGGCCACCAGCUGGGGCGGUGGACAGGGGGCAGAGGUGGUAGUCAUCGGAGGAAAAAGAUGAAGAGAGAUGGUGGAGAUGGUGGAGACUUGUGUGAUGAUUUAGAUCGCAGUCACACGGGUUACCACUGACAGCCCCCUCAUUCAACAACACGCAUCUGGAGGCACCGGUCAUCCCCUUCCUUCGUCUCCCCCCUCCUCUCCACGCCUUAUCCUCCUUGAGCCUGCUAUCCGCCACAGCUCAGUUAAACUCAUCUUCUCCCUCCACUCCCAGGUCCCAACCCACCAUUCCUGGUUCCCACGUGACAAAUGCUCAUCUCAUUCUCUCCGCACCCUUCCCUUCUUCUCUAAAUCUCUCCCUCCCUGCCACUUGCGCGCCUCCAAACCCCGCGCCCGCCUCCGUCCUAUCCACACCUUCGCCUCUGCGUCCCCCUCAUCGGAGCUCCUCGGCAAAUCGGCGCUCCGCCGCAUUUUUGACAAGCUCCGCAGCCUCAGCUAUCUCCUCGAGACCGGCUCCGAGACCCCGCUCCGGCCUGUACAUCUGCGGGCACCCCCCCUCGCCGGCAAGAUCUUCGUGCCCACCCUAGCCCAGAUCCCGCGGUAGCGCCACCGCGUCAGCUCCAACCUAGACUCGGGCUGGGCCACGGCUUACGGCGAGGGCGGCUCCGUGGCGCAGCGGCGGUGGAGGAGGCGCGGGAGGGAUGCUGCGCUGCCGCGGGAUGGUUAUUUGCAAAAAUACCCUAUUAUUUUUAUUUACACCCCUGGUUUGGAUUGCGAUUAUUAAUCGCGAUCCAACUAUUUUCAUUAUACUCCCUGUUUUGGAUCGCGAUCCGUUUAUUUGCAUUUGGGACCCUAAUUUGGUUAUAAAUAUUUCCAUAGAGCCCCUUGGUUUGACGGACCCUCCUCUCUUCCGGCUCCUCCAGCCCGCCGGCUGUGGCCGGUCACCAUUCGCGCCGCCGCUGAAGUCCGCACCCACCUCCACCCCCCCCCCCCCCACCCCACCCCCACCCACCCUAGUGCGAUUCGCUCCCCAUGUUCCCGCCGCUUUCGCACCUCCGGCGCCGCGUCCUCGCCGCAGCCCCUGAACUCCUCGCCCCUCUCUUCUUCCGCUGCCUCUCCACCGCCACCGCACCGGCAGCCCGCAAACCGACUACCGCUGUGGCCGUCCUCUGGGACCUGGCCGCGUCGAGUCCCCCAACCACACUGCCCCUCUACGACGCCGCCGUUCGCCUCCACCUCUCCGCCACCUCCUUCGGCCGCCUCCGCCUCUCCGUGGCCUUCGUCCACCCGACCCACCGCCUCCCGGCCCCCGCCGCGCCCGCCGCCACGACCCACCUCUGCCGCGUCUGUGGGCGCCGCUUCCGCGCCCGCGACGCCCUGCUGCGCCACUUCGACGCCAUCCACGCCCGCGAGCACGCCAAGCGCCUCGCCCGCAUCGACUCCUCCCGUGGCGACCGCCGCGUGCGCCUCGCCGCCGCGCUCUCCCUCAAGCUCUCCAAGUACGAGAAGGCCGCCCGCGAGCUCACCGCGGGCGCGGACGCCGCCGCCACCCCCGCAGACGAGCUCGGCCGCGCCGGCAUCCGCGUCGCGCUCACCCGCACGCCCGCCGCGUCCUUCCGGGAGCGCGCACAGCAGGUGCUCGACGAAGGGUCCGUGGGGUGCCUGAUGCUGGUCUCUGGCAAGGACGAGCUCGCCUCCCUACUGCGGGUGGCGAGGGAGAGGGGCGUGCGGUCGGUGGUGGUCGGCGGGGAGUCCGGGCUGGCGAGGUGGGCCGACGUGGGGUUCAGCUGGGCGGAGGUCAUCUCGGGGAAAGCCAGGAACGCCGCGCCGUCAGUGUCCGGCAAGUGGCGUGACAGGGACGUGCUCAAGGGGCUGGAGUGGAGGUACGAGGAGGCAGACGACGAGGAAGAGCUGGUGUUCGAGGACAGCGACGGCGAUGGGGUCGAGGAGCUGGCACGGAAUGCGAAGGGGAAGCCGUGGUGGAAGCUGGAAUCUGACGACGAGGACUCCAACGUUGGUGGUUGAACGAUGAUGAUUGGCACGGAAUGUGUUUGCCCGUUUGCCGCUUGGAAUCCAUCAGUGGAAGCAUGGAUCUUGGCACACCGCACGCCAGUGGAGUCAUGAUCAUGGAAGUGUAGAAAGAAUUUGUGCUUAAUUGUUGUGGUUGCCUCUAAUGAUCUUGUAACUUGGAAGAGUACACCUGUGCGCUAUGUAUCAACGACUGUCAUACUGAAAUUUGCUAUACAGAGGGAAACCGCAUAUUAGCAUGUUCCUAUCGAUUAUGCAAUCUCUAAAUCUGCACUCUGCAGACAACCAAAUUGGAUUACAUCCUACAAGGUUCAGUACCAUCCAGCGGGUCAAGCCAAAUGUGCUGUCGCGGCCAGAUUCCGGCCAGCCCGCUCCAGGAGCGCCAGCAUCCCCUCGCACUCCGCGAUGAUGGCCUUGUCGAGCCCGCUCCGGAUCACGGGCGCGAAGAAGAGCCACGACCCGGUCCCCGUCACGAACGCCAGCGUGAGCGCCGUCGCCACGGGGCGCGGCGGCCGCCACAGCCCGCUGCCCCGCCACCGCCGCUCGGCCACCACGCACGCGCCGUGCAACGCGAAGAAGGCGGUCACCUCCCCGGUCCCGGCCUCCAGCGUGAUGUAGUAGAACAUGACCUCGUGCAUGGCGCCGGACACGAGGAACGCCGCGAGCACGCCCGCGGCGGCGCCGAGGCGGGCGCGCACGGGGCGGUACACGCAGGGCCGGAGCACGCCCGGGACCAUGAGGUUCCACCGGCGGCCCCAGAAGUCGCCGAAGGAGGAGGCGAGGUACGGCCGGUCGAACUGCGGCUCCAGCUCCGCGCCCAGCAGCGCGCGGGCGAGCGCCGCGGCGGACGCGAGGAAGAGCUCGAGCAUCAGGUACACGUGCGUGCCGUCGAACACGGGCACGGCGUACGGGGGCAUCCGCUCCCUGUAGCACCGGGCGGAGACGAGCGCCGCGAAGAGCGCCGCCUUGGCCGCGUAGGACAGCAGGGAUCCGGAAGGGAGAGCGCGGGACGGCUGCUGCUGCUGCUUCUCGUCCCGGACCUUGACGGGCAGCGCGGCGCACGCGACGAAGCGCACGAGCGGGAGGGCGGGGUGGAGCGGCCCGUGGCCGGCGGCGAGGAGGAGGAGCUUGAAGCCGCAGAGCCAGACGAGGAAGAAGGCGGAGAUGGUGCGGAGGUGGAUGGAGGCGAAGGCGAAGGGGAGGGCGGGGAGGAGGAGGAGCACCGGGAGGAGCGCCGCGAGGCGGGGGAUUCCGGGGCUCAAGCGCGCGGUGGCGAGUCGCGCGUAGGAGAGGGCCCCAGCCGCGGCGACCGAGACCACGGCGAGGCCGGCUAGCUCGGACGCCAUGCCCGCCUUGCCGCCUAGCCCUCGUUCGUUGACCGCGGCGGCCGCCGGCUGAUCGAGAUCCGGGUGAAGUCGCGCGAUGUCGAUCGAACUGGCCAUGGAAUACAUUAGUAGAAAUGGGGAUCAAAAGAAAGAAUUGAAAAUACAUCAUGUGCCACGCAUUCCGUAUGCAUCUGAAACUGCCGUGUCUUCUCCACCCUCGUGUCGUGUGAUUGGCGUCCAAGUUGUCGGGCUUGAGCAUGACCAUGACGACGAUGCCAUUGGAACUGGACGGUGGUGGCGACCCGCAGUGAUGGCAGCAUGGCGGAGCUGUGCCAGUAACGACGGUGACGUAGAUGAGAAUGCUGACACUACAACCGGACGGACAAGUUUGAACCUGAUCUCUGAUUCGCCCCGUCGGUACACGCAGACAGAGGUAUCUCCUGCUAGAGUGCUCAGUCCCCUAGCGUAUCACCAUACGUGAUCUCUCCCUCGCCUCCUAGCAGACGUGGCAUGUGGCCCAGGCCUGACAGCUGGGAUCAUGGUCUCCGGACCCUCCCCGAGCUCUCUGAGGUUCAGGACCUCCGCAUGCCACGAAAGGCAAGGGAGCUCUUGAGUAGCCCCCGCGGACCCGGACUCUCUAGGAAGAUCCGGAGCCGCCACGUGUGAUGGUCGGACCGCUCCAACCGGCCUCAGGGGCCCGGACCCCCACCCUCCGGGGAGGGGUCCGGUGCCGCCAUGUGCCGCCCCUGUGGAAGGAGCAGGGCUGGCCCUGACACAUGCGUGUGGCAGGAGGCCCUUCGCGGGUCUCCAGCCCACCUACCAGCAUUUAAUGCGGUAGCUGGGCCGGGCGCGCCCAAGUCAAAAAGUGCGGCCUGCCCAUGACACACGGGGAGAUUGGCUGACACCACGGUAAGCCCGCCUGUUACCAAGGUGGCGCGUCGUAUCACCAUCACUGUGCGCAAGCGGCGUGCAGUCCCGUCACGGUGUGGCGCGCAGCGUGAUGAUGGCCUGUAACAGGUGAGCUGAGGCGUGCGCUGCUACAGCGCGCGCGGAGGCGACGGCCCGACGGGUCAGCACUACCCCCACGCCUGUCAGAGUCGCACCCAACAGUGGCAGCACAGCACCACUGUCAGGUAACACUGACAGCGGUCACUGUGCUUGCAGGUCAGCACACGACCAUAUCCAAGUUGUGGAUAUGCACACUAUCUUCCCAACCGUGAAUGCUACAACGGGGAGCUGGAGAUGGAGAUCUCCAUAUCACUUAGAAUAGGCUCCUGUUGGCCGGGCCCGCCUGUUGGGGCUCCGCACAGUGUAAGCACUCCCCUAGAACUAUAAAAGGGAGAGUGCACUCGUUAGAAAUAGGAUUUUUUUUUCAUAUACAUGAACACAAAUCCAGGAUUUACACAGUCAAUACAACACCAAAGUGGACGUAGGGUAUUACACUCCGGCGGCCCGAACCACUCUAAAUCCUUGAAUCCUUCCUGCAUUCAUCCACGCAUCGAUCGAGCGCUCAUAAGUCUCCUCCAAACCCAUCCUUAACUAGGAUUAGGCGGGUGCAUUCCGCCACCCGGCUGGAGAUUUUCUCCGACAUUUGGCGCGCCAGGUAGGGGCUUAGAUUUGGUUUGCGCUUGUUCGACCUUCACGACCUCAAUGGCGCAGAAAGAUGGUCGCAACGACCACCUGUUGGGCGAGGAAGUGGCGUCCAUGACGCCACAUAUUUCCCGUCGUCCAACAUCCAGGGCGGCGCGAGCAGCUCCGCAACGCGCUGUGGCGCGCGCUUCAGUGGCCUAAUCGGUGCCCGCACCGAAUGGACCGCUCGUGGCAGGUAGGGAGUUGCUCCACAACCCCCCUGGAGAGGCGGCCUCGCCUGACGCCCAGAGGCAAUGGCGUGACGACGUCGACCGCCUCGUCAACCUGGCACAGUCUUCUCCAUGUUCAGCGGGGGUGUCUGCCUCCAGACAACGCCGUCAUCAGGGCGGCGCAACCGGCUCUGUGCACUCACCAUCAGUGAGGAGUGCACGGACCGAGAACCUCCGGGCGGAGCUCAACCGCAGACGUGCGGGAGAGGACGCCCGUGUCUCCAUUGAGCGGGCGCGUGGUCGCCGGCUCAGUAUCGAGGGUCGCGACCUCGAUGCCGAUUUUGCUGUGGUGGUUCCGGCUCCGCAGGGACUUGCCCAGGCACCAGUGUCCGGGGUGGGCUGCGCCGCGCUCGCAGACCACCUUCGCGCGGUCGUCUGGCCGUCCAAGUUUCGGCCACACCUGCCGGAAAAGUACGACGGGUCCUCCAACCCGUCAGAAUUCCUGCAGGUUACUUCCAUGUAGCCUUGACCGGGCCAGUCCGAACCUGGCUCAUGAACCUUACUCCGGGAUCUAUCCGAUCCUGGGGUGAGCUGUGCGCACAGUUCACGGCAAACUUUGCCAGUGUGUAUCAGCAGCACGGUGUGGAGGCCCACCUCCACGCUGUGAGGCAGCAACCCGGAGAAACCCUCCGGGCCUUCAUCUCCCGCUUCACCAAGGUACGUGGAACGAUUCCGCGUAUCUCCGACGCAUCUAUUAUCACGGCUUUCCGACAGGGGGUCCGUGACGAGAAGAUGCUGGAGAAGCUGGCGACCCACCAGGUGGAAACCGUAACCACCUUGUUCGCUUUGGCGGACAAAUGCGCCAGGGCAGCAGAAGGCCGUGCAUGGCACUCUGCAACCCAGGCAGGAGCCGCUCAGACAAGUGGGCCCAGUGUCGCUGCCCCUGACAGUGGCAAGAAAAAGAAUAAGAAGAGUCGUGGCUUCGACAAGUCACGGAUCAGAGGCCCGGCUGUUGCAGCAACAACGACCGAGGGCCAGAACCCCCGCAGCAAGCGCCCACGACAACAGCGCACCGACCCCGGGUCGUGCCCUGUUCACCCUGGGGCCCGUCACAGCGCCACCGAGUGCCGCGAGAUCCAGAAGCUCGCGGAGCGCCUCAGCAAGAGGCGCGACCAAACCUCAAGGGAAGGCACCUCCCCUCCGCGGCGGUCCGGCAAGGAGAAGGUCUCCGACGCCGAUGCGGCCGUAGCGGAGAGGGAGCUGGGGUACCAAACCCCCAACAAAGACCUCAAGGGUCUCUUCCACCAGUCCCACUCCGAAUCCGGUAGUGACGAGCGUUGCAAGAAGCUGUUUGUGAUGUACGGCGGCAGCUCGGAGCUCGCCUCCCGGCGGGACGUCAAGACCCUCCGCCGAGAGGUCCUCUCUGUGAAGCCGGCGACGCCGAAAGCGGCGCCGCACCAGCGGUGGAAGAACACCACCAUCUCCUUCGGGCCAUCGGACUGCCCGGAGAAUAUGGCAGGAGCUGGUGUGCUGCCGCUUGUCACGGCACCCACCAUCUCCAACGUUCGCCUCCACCACGUGCUGAUCGACGGGGGUGCCGGCCUCAGCGUCAUCAGCUAUGCAGCGUUCAAACACCUGCAGAUCUCGGAGUCCAAGCUGACUCCUUCACGCCCAUUCUCCGGAGUGGGCCCAGACCCAGUGUACCCGGUGGGGACCAUCUCCCUACCGGUUACAUUUGGGACAGAGGAUAACUUCCGUACCGAGAACGUGUAGUUCGAGGUUGCCGAGGUUAACCUCCCCUUCAACGCUAUCAUUGGCAGACCGGCCCUGUACCGGUUCAUGGCCAUUGCCCAUUACGGGUAUCUGGUCCUGAAGAUGGCUUCUCCGGCAGGCGUCCUCACCGUCCAGAGCGACCGGGCCGCUGCCGUCGUGGCGGUCGAAAAGCUCCAUGCGCUGGCACCAGGGCUUGCCCCUGCAGCUGGCGCCUAGGGGUCCGACCCCUCCACCUCGCGUGCCAAGGCCCUGGCCAAGGCACCUAAGGUCCGUCCGUCUGACACGGACGAUGUACCCGUGAAGACCUUUCAGGUCGGAGUGGAGACCUCCCAGACCACCCGCAUCGGUGGGAAUCUGGGAGAGAAAUAGGAAAAAACGCGCUCAUCACCUUCCUCCGAGCAAAUGUUGACGUGUUCGCCUAGGAACCGUCACAGAUGCCCGGGAUCCCUAGGAGGUGAUUGAGCACCAUCUGAAGAUCCACCCCGGCGCCAGGCAGGUCCGGCAGAAGCCACGCAAGCAGUCCAUCGAGCGGCAAAACUUCAUCCGUGAAGAGGUCCGCAAGCUGCUGCAGGCUGGCUUCAUUGAGGAGGUCUACCACCCAGUGUGGUUGGCCAAUCCUGUCGUGGUCCCGAAGGCAAACGGGAAGCUUCGGAUGUGUAUCGACUACACCAAUCUUAAUAAGGUAUGUCCAAAAGACCCUUAUCCACUUCCGCGUAUAGAUCAGAUUGUAGACUCCACCUCCGGGUGUGAUUUGCUGUCCUUCAUAGAUGCCUAUUCUAGUUUUCACCAGAUUAAAAUGGCUGAGGAUGAUAGGAAGCAUACAGCUUUUGUAACAGUGGAUGGUCUUUAUUGUUAUAUAGUAAUGCCUUAUGGAUUGCUUAACGCUCUACCUACCUUUGCUCGAGCAAUGAACAUCACUUUAGGUGAUUUGAUUAGAGAAAUAGUUGAGGUGUAUGUUGAUGACAUUGUUGUCAAGACUAGAGAGUCAAAUUCUCUCCUAAAAAAUAUAGCUCAGAUCUUCAACAAGUUACGAGCGACCUCCACCAAACUUAACCCCGAGAAGUGCGUCUUCGGCGUAUCGGCGGGUAAGCUCCUUGGUUUCUUGGUCUCCCACCGGGUAAUCGAGGCCAACCCGGAUAAGGUCCGGGCGAUUGACGCAAUGAGGCCCCCUGCGCGCCUCAAGGAUGUACAGAGGUUAACGGGGUCCCUUGCAGCCCUCAGCCGUUUCAUUUCAAGGCUGGCGGAGAGGGCGCUCCCUUUCUUAAAGUUGAUGAGGGGGUCCAGUCCAUUUGCAUGGACUGAAGAGGCAGAACGUGCCUUCCAGGAAAUGAAGCAGUACCUCACCUCCUUACCGGUGCUGGUCGCACCGGACCCAGGGGAGACGCUGUUUCUCUAUCUUGCAGCGACGGCCGAGGUGAUCAGCAUGGUGCUGGUCACGGAGAGGCCCGAGCAUCUCCCGCCCGGUGCCCCCGCAGACCCCCCUGCAGGAGAAGGAGGUCCGGCCUCCACCGCUCCAGCAACCGGCCCUACUUCGGAGGGAUCGGCCGGGUCCCGACCCGGAGAAGCCCUAAGCAACAUGAGGUCCGACGAGUCCCCAGCUCAAACAGAAGGAUCCAGUCCUCCUGGCAAAGUCAGAACCGUCCCGAAGCCGGUCUACUACGUCAGUGAGGUCCUUCAUGAGGCAAAGAACAGGUAUCCUGAAACACAUAAGUUUCUUUAUGCUAUACUCGUUGCGUCCAGGAAACUCCGCCACUACUUCCAGGCCCACAAGAUUGUGGUGGUAACCUCCUACCCGUUGAGGGCCAUCCUCCACAACUCCAACGCCACGGGCACCAUCGCCAAGUGGGCAGCUGAGCUCGCAGAAUUCCAGCUUGACUUCCAGCCAUGCCAUACUGUCAAGAGCCAGGUUCUUGCUGAUUUCGUCGCAAAGUGGAUGCCAUCGCCUAACGUCCCUGGGGGUCCGGGUGACGGCUCGGACCCCCCACGUCCAGAAGUCAGGGCUCCGGUUUUCACCAAACCUCACUGGACACUCUUCUUCGAUGGGUCCGCCCGUAGCAAGAGGGCAGGGGCAGGCGUGGUCCUUAUUGACCUAUGUGGCGAGCAGUUGAAGUGCAUGGUGCACCUCGACUUUGAGGCCACCAACAACAUGGCGGAGUAUGAGGCCUUGAUCUUUGGACUCACGGCGGCUCUGUCCCUGGGGGUCCGGGAGCUCCUGGUCAAAGGGGACUCCCAACUCGUCAUCAGGCAAGUCUGGGUGAGUGUUGCUGUAACAAUCCCCAGCUCGCAGCCUACCUCAUUCAUGUGAAGAGGCUGGAGAAGGACUUCGAUUUGCUGGAGCUGCAACAUGUUCCACGCGAGGGUACCUCAGCAGCUGAUGCCCUCUCCACGAGCGCAUCGACUCAAGCACCCGUGCCUGAGGGCGUCUUUCAGAGACGCCUGCUGAAGCCUUCCGCCCAGCCUGCUGACCUGGGCAGAGGGGGUCGGACUGGCACCUCGAAGCUAGCGGUCCCGGCGGCGCUCCAUCCGUGGAGCCCGCCAAGGGUUGUGUGCUCCCUAGAGGGUCCCGAAAACCUCAGGGAGCCAAGCCCAAAUUCUCAGGAAGGUCCGAUGCAUGGAUCUCUAAGAUCCGGGACUACCUGAAAGAUAAUUUCCUUCCUGAAUACCAAGCAUCUGCUGAGCACAUAGUCCGGAUGGCAAAACGAUACACGGUGAUAGAAGGGGAUCUCUACCGCCGUGGCGCCAACGGCAUCCUCAUGCGGUGCAUCACCUAGGAAGAGGGCCGCGACUUGCUCGCGGAGAUCCAUGGAGGCGAGUGCGGAAGUAAUUCUUCAUCCCGCACGCUGGUCGGUAAGACCUUCCGACAUGGCUUUUACUGGCCGACAGCGCUUCAGGAUGCAGCUGAGUUGGUAAGGUCCUGCAAGGCGUGUCAGUUCCAUGCAAAGCAAAUACACACUCCAGCUCAAGCCCUGCAGAGGAUUCCUCCCUCUUGGCCCUUUGCCGUGUGGGGGUUGGAUAUCUUGGGACCUUUCCCUAGGGCCGUCGGCGGGUACCGGUACCUCUAUGUCGCCAUUAACAAAUUCACCAAGUGGCCGGAGGCAACCCUAUUAGUCAACAUCACCAAGGCAUCAGCAACUGCUUUCCUCAGGUCAAUCGUGUGUCAGUUCGGGGUCCCGAACCGGGUCAUCACCGACAAUGGGACUCAGUUCAUGAGCCAAUACUUCCAGGAGUACCACGAGGACAUUGGCAUCCAGCUCUGUUUCGCCUAAGUGGCGCACCCCAGGAGCAAUGGCCAAGUCAAGCGUGCUAAUGCUGAGAUCCUCAGAGGACUCAAGAUCUGGACCUACUGCGAUCUUGAGAAACAUGGUGCAAGGUGGAUUGAUGAACUACCAAGUGUGCUGUGGGGAAACCGGACCACACCCAGCCGGGCAACAGGGGAGACCCCUUUCUUCUUGGUCUACGGGGCCGAAGCAUGCCUUCCCCCGAAGAUCACCAUGGGCUCUCUACGAGUCCAGUCCUUUGAUGAGGAUUUGCAAGAACAGCAGCGUCGCCAAGACGUGGACCUCGUCGACGAGCGAAGGUGGUGAGCUGCAGUCCGAAACGCACAAUACAACCAAGCGCUCUGGCGCUACCACCAGCGGUUCGUGCGCAGUAGGGAGCUCCGGGUCGACGACCUAGUCUUGAGGCGGAUCCUAAACCGGAAAGGCCUGCACAAGCUCUCCUCCAGCUGGGAGGGGCCCUUCAAGAUGAUAAAGGUGUGCCGACCCGGAUCUGUUCGUUUGGCUACGGAGGAAGGCAUGCAACUACCCAAUCCAUGGAACAUUGAGCACCUCCGUAAGUUCUAUCCCUAGGACCUAGUUGAGAGAAAAUUUUUCCUUUGUAAUUGGUAGCUCCAAUGUGCGGUCCAGGGCGGUGGAGGUCCGCCUCGUAAACCCGGCCCCUGGCGUACAUCGCACAACUCUUCUGUACCAAUUCGUCAAGGAAAAAUUUGUUUCUCAAAUAUGUUCCUGAAAUCUAUGAAGUUCUGUUUUUUCCUUGCUUCUCGAUUACGCUAACCCCCCGUGUGGUCUUUCACGUUUGAGUCGUGUCAAAGGCCUACUUAAGUUGCUACACUAUGUCUCUGGCCGGGACCCCUGUCUCGCGGAAGAAAAGGAACCGGGCACCUGGGAACUGGCUUCAGGGAGACGUGCUCGUCCUUUGCUGGGGUCCAGGGCCGCGUAGCUGCUUAGCCUGGUUCCGUACCCUAAGCCUGCACGCCCUGCCCCUCUAGGACGAGUAGCGUUGUACCUUGAACCAUGGACCCGGGGGCCGGGACCCCUUAGAUCCCCGAACUGUGGCCUCGGUGCUCUGACUCGUUACGCAACUCAGUAGGCCUUCGCUGGCCGGAUCGGGACCUCGUGGGGACGCCUACUAAGUAUCGAUCUAAGUCGCGUGCAGGACCUCGGUUUUGUGGCAGCUAGUCUUGACCUAUCGCGACUACCUCCCAGGGGGCCACGGGACCUCGGUGUACUCAAGAACACUUUACGGUUCGACAACCAGGAAAACAGCUAAGUUUUUGCAAAAAAGUAGACCUAAUGCAUUACUGAUAAUAUGCACAACAUUACGAAGUUAUUUUACAAUAACAAAAGUUAUAUUACAUAAGAAACAACAAAAAAGAUUCUAGAACUAUUGAUCUGGUGUCCCGGAGGCACCCCCGCUCUGUGCAGGUUCCGGGCGGCGUCAGACGCGUGCCGCGACCAUGUCCGCUGCCUCCUGGACUCCCUCCCGUGCAGCGGCUGCUAAUGCCCGGAGAGGUCCAACCAGGACUGGAGUCAGCUGGAUGGCGGGGUCGUGGCUUCGGAAGCUGGUGAGGAUGUACUCCGCCAUCUCCCGGGCAACUACACGCCCUUCGGUCUCCAGGAGGUUCUGGAUGCUGGCCUCCACGUCCCGCAGCCGCUCGGCAGUGGAGUCCAGGACCUGGAGGGCGGCGCCAAGUGGUGAAGACGCCCCCGGCGCCCGGAUGGGGUUGGCUCCGAGUGCUUCUAGCAGAGGGUUCACCUCGCCGACCCAUCUUGUGAUCCGGUCGGUGCUGGUGCUCCGCUCCGCCAGGAGCUCCUCCACCUUGGCCUCCCUUUCCCGGAGGGCCGCUUCCCGCUCCUGGAGCCUCUGUGUCCCGGCUGCCAGCUCCUCCUCCAUGGCCUCUUCCCGCUUCUGGAGUUCUUGGAGCCGAGCCACCACCUCUGCUUCGCGGGUUGCCGCCAGCUCUGCGAGGGUGGCCUCUUGCGCCUCGACCGCUGCCGCCGCCUUCUUGGCCUGGUUGGUCAGCGCCCUGGCGGCCUGCUCCUUCUUGGUCGCCGCCAGCAUCUUCUCCUCCGCCGCGAUCUGCCGCUCAAGGGCUACCGCUUCCCGCCUUUAGAUCGUCGAUUUCAGGUAAGGCCGCCUUCUCCCGCUGGAACGCUGCCACCUCCCGGUCGCGGGCCUUCUGCAGCUUCUCUUGCAGGAGCUCGCGCUCCAGCGCGAGCUUGGCCCGCUCUUCAGCGUGCCGGGCGGUGACGGACUUGAUGCGGUCCCCCAGGCGGCGCUCCCAGUCAGAGAGCCGGAAGUACUCCGCAUCCAGCUUCUCCCACUCUCGACGAAUGCCAGCCUCCAGCUCCUCUUGAGCCUGCUGGCAUUUGGCCAGGAGCCGGGGGAGGGGGAUCUCUGCUGCGCUCGGGAGGAGGGGCCUUCCCAGCACCACCUCCGGUUCCUCCUCCUCCGCUGGUGGGGCAGCGGCGCUGGUAACCUCAGCGGCCUCCGGUGCCGCUGUCUCCGCCGCCUCCGCUGUCUCCAGCGCUGCGGUCUCUGCCGCAGGAGCAGCCCCCUCUGCUGCUGGCUCAGCUGGAGAGGGCCCGGCCUCGGCGCCCGACGCGACUGCAGGCGCCUCGGUCGCCGCAGCGGGCCUAGCGUCCUCUUCCUGGGGGGCGGCAUCGGGUCGUGGCGGUACGGAAGCCUCCGGCUCAAGACCCCUAGGUCCCGAGGUUUCUGGGGUGGUCCAAGGCGGGGGCCCUGCUGGGGCCGACGCCGAGGAUUCCAGCGCAGGCUGGGGGCCGGAUCCCCCGAUUGGUGCCUCUAAAAAUUGGGGCCUGCCGUAUCACCGAUAUGGUUAAGAUCCAGAAGUUAAGAGGGAUAAUGAAGAGCUCUAAGAAGACUAUUUACGCGAAGUCAUACCACUCCCACCUGCCCCGGGCAGCUGGGGGGACCUUCCUCCGUGUCGAGGACCCCCUAGACCUUUGGCGGGUGUCCCCGACCGCCGGUGCUUCUGGCGGCGGCGGUGGGGUCUGCGGCCUGGGCUCGGUUGGUGGUGGUGGCGUCGCCGGACACCGUGUCGGCGGCGGUGGUGGAGGUGUCUGCUGCCUCGGAGGAGGCCCUCGCGCCUCUCCCGGCCUCCUCUCCGGCUGUUGGCGUUGUGGCGGAGGUGGUGGAGCUCCGCUCCGCUCCUCCGCCCCCGUCGUCUUCUGGCCCUUGGGCGCCGGCUCCCCGACCAAGGAGCCGUCGCCACGCUGGAGCCUCCAGGACUUGCUCCCUUCGGCUUGGCUGGUCUGUGCGGGCGCCGCCCCCUGGGCCUUGUCGUCCCUUUGGGCCGGCGCAGCACCCUUAUUGUCCUUGUACCGGUGCUCCGGCACCGGCACCUUCUCCUUCCCUUUCCCGGCGGGAGCCGGACCUCCAAGUCCGGGCUCCCCGGGACCUUCGCUGGUGCGUUGCUGGCGGUCCAGAGCGGCACCGGGGAUCUGGAGCCCGCGGUUGGGGUCGCCUCCCAACUGCCGAACCGCCAGGCCGCCCUCGUCCAGGGUCGGCAUCGACGCCAGGAUAGAUGACCGCAGCGCCUGGUCCUCGCACAGGGCCUUGAUCCCGCCCGGGAGGACCAGGGACUCUGGGCUGAACGCAUCGCCGGUCAUCGCCCGGAGCGCCGCCUCCAGCUCCGCCCUGGUGAAGUCGCCGCCUGGCCCGCGCGCGAUCCUGCCGCAGUCAUUCAGCCCCAUGUACAUGUAGGCCAUCCGGAACCGCUGCUGCAAGGGAGCAAUUCACCGCUUUAGAAAGUCGCCCAGCACCAUCAUGGAUGUCAGGCCGCUCCUCGCCAGCUUCUUGAUCCGGUUCAGCACCGGGUCGAGCUCCGCUGGGAUUGUUGGUUUGGCCUUCCAGGUGCUCCGGUCACUUUGGGGGGGCUCCGUUGGCAGCUCCAGGCGGUCGUGGGGGUCGGCCACCGCGAUGACCCAGCCUUCGCGCCAGUCCUCCCACUUGGAGCUGGAGAAGGCGCUGAUGUAGGAGCUCGCCACCCCCUGCCGGAGCUGGAAGUAAUAGGCGCCGAUCUCGCGCUUAGCCCUUCCAGUCCCGACCAAGGCGUAGAAGUGCUUGAAGAUGCUGGUGCAGGGGCGCACCCCCACGAACAUCUCCAUGAGGUGGGCGAAGACCGCCACGAGGAGGAUCGAGUGGGGGGUGAAAUGAUGAAGUUGAAGGCCGAACUCCUCUAGGAGUAGGAAGAAGAAGGAGGAGAACGGAGGAACCAACCCGCACAUAAUGUACGAGUUGAAGAGAAUGAACUCCCCCGCGUCAAGGUCGCAGAGGGGAACCUUGCCGGCCCUGAUCUUCCCGGCCAGCGCCGGCGCGGUCCAUCCAAGAAGGCUGCGCACUGAGUCCAGCUGGGCCUGGCUCUGGAAGCGGCGCGGAAAAGGAAGCGAAGACAUCGCGAUGGAUGUUGAGGUCGCUGAGGAUGAAUCGCAAGGAAGCGGGGAGGAGAAAAAAGUCGAGCGUAAGGAUGCUGUUCGCAAGGAAGAUUGCGAAGACGAAGGGGCACUACGGUGUCUGUUGAUGGUAAGAGCGAAAAGGUAGCCGUUCCCUUUGGCGCUUACCUUUUAUGCAAAAGGCUGUUGCCCUCUCGCGCUCUGCGGCGACCGAGGGGGAGUCGAACGGUUGCCUGCACCAGGCCCCCUCCUCUCACACCCAAUGACCGGUGGGGCCAGGCCCGCCGGUCAGAGGCGUGACCACGGGAUGGAAGGGGAAAAGGCGGAAUCCGAACCGCCCGAGCCGCGGGACGGGCUCGAAUAAGACAAGAAUCUGAACCGCCUGACGCGUAUGGCGCGGGCGGAGGACGGGCCCCUUGGGGAUCCCGCUUUGGGGGAAAAGUCAGCUAUGCCCUUCUCCGGCGGAACGAGCUGUCCACCCGGCGCAAUGCUGGGAAACUGGCCCCACCUGCGGGUUCAUUCUUCACCCGAGGUGGGCCCGGGGGCCUCUGUCGGUAUAUACAGACAGGUGUACCUCCUACUAGGGUGCCCAGGCCCUUAGCGUAUCACCAUACGUGAUCUCCCCCUCGCCUCCUGGGAGACGUGGCAUAUGGCCCAGGCCUGACAGCUGGGAUCAUGGUCUCCGGAUCCUCCCCGAGCUCUCUGAGGUCCAGGACCUCUGCAUGCCACGGAAGGCAAGGGAGCUCUUGGGUAGCCCCCGCGGACCUGGACUCCCCAGGGAGGUCCGGGGCCGCCACGUGUGAUGGCCGGACCGCUCCAACCGGCCUUGGGGGCCCGGACCCCCACCCUCCGGGGAGGGGUCCGGUGCCGCCACGUGCCGCCCCUGCGGAAGGAGCAGGGCUGGCCCUGCCACAUGCGUGUGGCAGGAGGCCCUUCGCGGAUCUCCAGCCCAUCUACCAGCAUUUAAUACGGUAGCUGGGCCGGGCGCGCCCAAGUCAAAAAGUGCGGCCUGCCCCUGACACACGGGGCAGGUUGGCUGACACCACGGUAAGCCCGCCUAUUAUCAAGGCGGCGCGUCGUAUCACCGUCACUGUGCGCAAGCGGCGUGCAGUCCCGUCACGGUGUGGCGCGCAGCGUGAUGAUGGCCUGUAACAGGUGAGCUGAGGCGUGCGCUGCUACAGCGCGCGCAGAGGUAACGGUGCGGCGGGUCAGCACUGCCCCCACGCCUGUCAAAGUCGCACCCAACAGUGGCAGCACAGCACCACUGUCGGGUAACACUGACAGCGAUCACUGUGCUUGCAGGUCAGCACACGACCAUAUCCAAGUUGUGGAUACGCACACUAUCUUCCCAACCGUGAAGGCUACAACGGGGAGCUGGAGAUGGAGAUCUCCAUAUCACUUAGAAUAGGCUCCUGUUGGCCGGGCCCGCCUGUCGGGGCUCCGCACAGUGUAAGCACUCCCCUAGGACUAUAAAAAGGAGAGUGCACUCGUUAGAAAAGGGGGUUUUUUUCAUAUACAUGAACACAAAUCCAGGGCUUACACAGUCAAUACAACACCAAAGUGGACAUAGGGUAUUACGCUCCGGCGGCCCGAACCACUCUAAAUGCUUGCAUCCUUCCUGCAUUCAUCCACGCAUCGAUCGAGCGCUCCUAAGUCUCCUCCAAACCCAUCCUUAACUAGGAUUAGGCGGGUGCAUUCCGCCACCCAGCUGGAAAUUUCCUCCGACAGGCCCCUUUCUGAAUGUUGGAUUGGGAAUUAAAACUUUCGGAAAAUGUCCAUGGGGUUUCCCUAUCACUAUCAACAUCGUAUAGUUUGCUGCAAGUCUGCAACUGUAACUAUGGAAGUGUUCUCCUUUCAAAAAAAAAAGACUAUGGAAGUGUUCUGGUUGGUUGUGACAAGUUGCUCCCAUCCCAAUCAAGCCCGCGGCAGUCCGGCACAGAGGGAGCGGGAGCAACUCGGCAGCCGCCACGAGCCGAGCAGGCGAACACAGUCGACACGCGCGAUGCCAUACGGUAUGGGCUGCAGCUUAAGAGGUAUUUUUGGCGUCGGGCCAUUUGGUCGGCCUCGGCCCGGUUCGCUUGGUGGCGACGCGACCCGAGCACGCCACGCGUGUCGGGCAGAGCAGUGUAACUCCCUCAUGCAUCUCUGCGAUUGGACAAUCGCAGAGCCGAGCGCUCCCGCCGUCCUCCCCGCUCCGGCGCCGUCUCCAUCGCUGCCCUCCAUCACCACCGCCAUUAAUCACUCUUGCUACAAUUUCACCCGUCCACCACCCAUAUUCUUCUUUCCAAUUUUUUCUCACCGCCACCGUCAGUCAAUACCCACCGAAUAUAUGACCUAGCCUUCGGUGCUGCCGCGCCAUCUUGCAUCGUCGGACCACCUCCGCCGCCGACCUCCUUCUCUCGAUCCGGUGAUCAUUAAAACUCCGAAAAUUCAAAAUUUUAUGAUCCACCAUCUUGACCACCAACCCGGCCGCGGCCGCUCCAUCCUCUCCCCCUCCCUUAGCUCGCCGGCGAACACUCUCCCUCUACGACAGCUCACCUCCUACCCACCCACGCGAGGAAUAGAUGCCCCGUUUGCCUUCCCGUCCGUGACCGAGCGCACGCAGAUCGCAUCGGCUCGGUCGCACGCCACGGUGUGGCUUGCUUCGGUCCUUCCUGGGCCGGGAAAAGUAAAGUAAGCAAGCAGAAGGAAGGGCGCCGUCGCUGUUACCACGGGGCCGUCGAUCACGACACGAGCCGCGCCGUACGUGAUCGCGGGGGUGGGGGAACUCAGCGAAGACCGAACACGGCGACGCCACGCAAGGAUCUGACGCUGGACGCCUCGCCCCCCAGCCUUAUCUGCUUCCGCCUCCCGAGGCCGAUCGACCAAUCCAGCGCAGCGUCCCCUCGCCGGCGGCCCCGCCGGGAAACCAGCACGUACGGCGCACACAGCACAGCACAGGCGCCAGUGCCAGCGGCGCAUGCAUGGCGCCGGCCUGUUGAAAAGGAAGGCGCAUCCGCGUACGGCGCCGCGGUUGGCACGUCACGUACUACGCGUCGGGUACGUACGCGCGUACGGCGGGUGGCGACGAUUGGCGGCCAUGCGAACGCGGGUGUUCCUCUCGGAUGCUAUCCAAGUACCUGGGCGUGGCAGGUAGGGUCCAUUUAAUUUCCCGUGCAAUUAAGCACACACAGCGAAAGCACUGCCCCACGGCCGGCCGGCGCCAAACGCGGCUGGCUCGCCGGUCGUCGGCCGGAGCUAGAGCAGAUGUACGUACAGGAUCCGCGUCAUUUGUUACAGUAGGCCAGGCGUUUGGUAGGCGCGGUAGGACGAAGCAAAGGUCCCGUGCCACACGCCUUGAAAGCGAGGAAUUCCUUUCUUCAUUUAUGGAUCUACCCCGGGCUGAUGAUCGAGUACCUUGCCUGACCUGGUGGUGAUCUCGGAUCAAGGAUGGUCACGCGCCGCGACUUCCAUGAUGGGACGAGAGGCCUGUGUCUCCAUCGGCGGCGUAAAUGCUCGUCCAUUUUUUCUCCAGGAUGUUUUUUUUUCAAAAAAACGAGAGUGAAUUAAACGAUUCAUAUAAUCAGAGGUUACAGGUACAGCUGCAUGGCUAAUUAUAAUCUCAACGAGAAAUCAAGUUGGACGAACUGACAAUAAUAUUGUCUGCAUGAUCAUGCAGUAUCAGUUGGCUAGCUAGGAGCAUCAUCACAAUGUUGUUCAGACACGAUCGAUAUGUAUGAUGUAUCCAGGAGGAGCAUGCAUGACGAUUUACAAACACACACAUAUAUAACACAUAAACGCAUCUUGUUUUUUCAUAUACGCAUGCAUGGUAAUAAUACGAUGAUAUUACCAGCUGUAAACACAACAUUCUCUCUGGGUAGAAGAGCCAUCAGCCAUGCACGGUUACAUACAUGCAGUCAGUGAGCUGUUUCAACUUAGAAUGCCGAUGUCUCUUUCAAUAUUUUUAAAACAAACUUCUGAAGAUGAAAUGGCUAGAAUUUGUCUUCAAAAGUGCUUUCAGUUUAUUGUAACUUCACUAUAUAUAUUCAACAGGAUUUAUAGCAUUGAUCAUUGGUCAAAUUAGCUAGACCUUAUCGCUUUCCUGGACAAUAUACUAGCAAUAUAUAGUUGCUUUUGUACCUGGAGGGAGUAUUAUUACACACAAAAAACAUACCAGUUGAGUGACGUUGAAUGAUUUUCUUUUACUAGUAAUAAUAGAUAGAUUUUUUACAGAAGUUCUGAUAAUUAUUUUGCAAACAACUUAUCUAAUCAAUCAACCGUGCUAUACUUGUAAGCGACUCUAGCAUCGACUGAUAUACGUAAUAUAUGGACUAUAUGGACGUAACUAGAUAGAGUAUAUCUACCAGUAGGAAAAAAUGCAUGUACAGCUGCACUACUAACUAGUUAGACAGACAUACGGUACUCAGUUUAAUUCCAAUGUUGCUAUACCGUGCAACCAAUGAACCAAAAUGUUUGAAUCAGAGUACGAUGCCACAGACCUAGCUACAAAUUUAGAAAUGCAGUAAGUUAACAAGAUAUCUACAAGACAAUUAGGAUCUUUGUAGUGUGUAUGGAUUGUAAUACAGGUUCAUAGCAUAUACACAUGGAGAAAUAAAAAUGAAAAGUUGAUGUUCAUCUAACGUAUUUCACAAUUUAUUCGCUAAACUACAUGUCAAUAUAGUUGUACAAAUGAACUUUGUGCAUAUACCAAGAAUGCAAAACACUGGACAAGUAUUUGAGAGUGUACAUGAGUGGAUAUAAUAUAUAAUAAAAUGACCGAAUAAUCAAUAUAGUAUAUAUAAACGACCAUGCAUAUAUCUACUUGUCAUGUUAUAGCUAGCACUAACCAGUUCUUCUCUGCUUUUUUUCGAAGAACCCAUUUCUUUCCUGUUAGAAGACUUUUUUUUUGAAAGAUUAGGCAGGAGCACUGAUGUUAGAAGACUUCAAUCCUCACAUUGGGAGUUGUUGCGCUGCUAUUGUAUUGGAAAAGAAAGAGGUGCAUGUGAAGCUACAAGGACUGCCUCAGCUAAUUGACAGCCAAUAGGCUAUCAUGACAUGCUAGUAGGGGCUAGCUCUUGCUAGCUUUAGCUUGGCACCAGCGGCACCUCUCAUAGAUAUGCAAUGCCCAACAGCCCAAGAGAGAUUUGGGGAAGUCAAAUAAAGGAUCUUGAUUAUUAGCAGGCCUGGUCUUACUCAUGCUCGUGAUUUGUGAAUAUGCAUGGUUGGGCUCUAAUCUGUUGCAUAGAGUAGCAUGUGUAAUGAAUCGUGCUCCUACUUCUCACAAAGAAAAGAUACUAUACAAAAUAAAGCUAAACUUACAAGUUCUUAGAGAAUUAACAAGAAGAUCGAAUCUAGAAGUGCGCAUAUAUUUCAUGUUGGUCAUCUCCUACUAUAUGAGUGGUCUUAUAUCUCUCUAGGGUCUAGACGUACAACAACUGGGAUAGUUACUGACAGAUGUAUUCGGAUCAUCGAUCAAUCAAGAAAUACAUGCGUCAAACUAAUCACUGAAGUUCUUUAACUAGAAAUAAUAGAUCAAAGAAAGAUAAAUCCACAUAAGUAAUAAUGAAAUAUUACAUGAACAGAACAAAUCCAAAACAAAGACUGAAAAGAAAUCAAUCAACAUAAUAAACGAAUCUUGUUUGCACAAAUCUUAUAUAGAAGACUGAACGGGAACAUGUAGAGGUAACAUAUGUAGCAUAGCAUGACAUACUCUUGCACAAGUACGUAGAUCCUAGCUGGAAAAAAGACGGAGUAUUUCGGACCAAGACGCUUGAUUCCCCAAAGCCAUGGCGCAGCAGUGUACAAAAGAAGCUGAAGAGGAGCUAGUCUGCUGGAAGAAGACGACUGAAGGAGAGGAGAACUGCACCGAUCUGAUGAUGGCUUCUUGACUCACAUGAGAGUAGUAGUACCAGAGCAGAUCAACCACGCCAUCAUCAUGCUCCGUGCAUCUCCCUCUCGCUUUCUGUCACGCCUCCCCAUCUCUCCCCCCUCCGCCGCCGGCCCCCUCGCACACGCCGCCCCUUCUCUCUCCGCUCCCGCUUUUCUCAUCGGCUAUAGCUUCUCCGGCCUCUUCCGCUUGGAAGUAGGUGGAGGCGACUCUUGAGGUGCGGUGUGGCAAUCAUGGCGGCCGAGGGCCCGAGGGGCUCGGGGGCAGCAUGAUUGCAUCUUGGAAGUAGCAGGGGGAGGAGAGGCUGCAGAGGCUCCUCGCAUCACAUGGUGUGGCAUGAUGGAGGCACACAUCUCAGCUCCGCUAGUAGCCGCACACACAUCUCCCUUGGUUUAUUGGGCUCCUCGAUUGGCCUCGCUGAUCUUCUUUCUAGGGGUCUCUUCCCC
rnacentral:lncRNA from 1 species